UCAUAUUGCUCUUUGCAUGAUCAUGUAGUUGACAUCGUAUUUGUGGCAAGGCCACCUUCAUAAUUUUCAUACAUGUCGCUCUUGAUUCAUUGCAUAUCCCGGUACACCACCGGAGGCAUUCAUAUAGAGUCAUAUCUUGUUCUAGCUUUGAGUUGUAAUUCUUGAGCUGUAAAUCAAUAAAAGUGUGAUGAUUUUCAUUAUUAGAGCAUUGUCUCAGUGAGGAAAGGAUGAUGAAGACUAUGAUUCCCCCACAAGUCGGGAUGAGACUUCGGACUUUAAAAAGAAAAGGAAAAAGAGUAAACAAAAAAAUAGGGAAAGGCCAAAAUAAAAUAAAUAAAAGGCCAAAGAAAAAAAAGAAAAAAAAGAGAAAAAAAGAGAAAAAGAAAAAAAUUAAAAUGAGAGAAAAAGAGAGAAGGGACAAUGCUACUAUCUCUUUUCCACACUUUUGCUUCAAAGUAGCACCAUGAACUUCAUGAUAGAGAGUCUCCUAUGUUGUCACUUUCAUAUACUAUGUGGGAAUUUUUCAUUAUAGAACUUGUCUUGUAUAUUCCAAUGACGGGCUUCCUCAAAAUGCCCUAGGUCUUCAUGAGCAAGGGAGUUGGAUGUACGCCCAUUAGUUUCUUUUGUUGAGCUUUCAUAUAUUUAUAGCUCUAGUGCAUCUGUUGCAUCGCAAUCCUUACUGACUCACUGAUAUCUAUUGAUGGGCAUCUCCAUAGCCCAUUGAUACGCCUAGUUGAUGUGAGACUAUCUUCUCCCACUUUUCGUCCUCACAACCACCAUCUUAUACCACCUUAGUGCUAUGCCCAUGGCUUACACUCAUGUAUUGCAUAAGAGUUGAAAAAAGCUGAAGCGCGUUAAAAAGUAUGAAACAAUUGCUCAGCUCGUCAUCGGGGUUGUGCAUGAUGGGAGUAUUUUGUGUAAUCAAAAUGAAGCAUGGCCUAACUAUAUGAUUUUGUAGGGAUAAGCUUUCUUUGGCUAUGUUAUUUUGAUAGGACAUGAUUAUUUGUUAGUCUGCUUUGAAGCAUUAAUAUUUUUUAUGUUUUAUAAGCUUUUAUCUUGAAUCAUUUGGAUCUGAAUAUUCAUGCCACAAUAAAUAAAAUUACAUUGAGAAUUAUGCUAGGUAGCAUUCCACAUCAAAAAUUCUAUUUUUAUCAUUUACCUACUCGAGGACGAGCAGGAAUUAAGCUUGGGGAUGCUUGAUACCGUCUCCAAUGUAUCUAUAAUUUUUGAUUGUUCCAUGCUAUUAUAUUACCCCUUUUGGAUGUUUAUGGGCUUUAUUUUACACAUUUAUAUUAUUUUUGGGACUAACCUACUAUCCGAAGGCCCAGCCCGUAUUGCUGUUUUUUUGCCUAUUUCAGUAUUUCGAAGAAAAGAAUUAUCAAGCGGAGUCCAAACGGAAUGAAACCUUCGGCAGUGUGAUUUUUCGAACGAACGUGAUCCAGAGGACUUGGAGUGCAAGUCAAGAAGCAGCCGAGGCGUCCACGAGACAGAGGGGCGCACCCCCUAUCUCGUGGGCCCCUCGGGCGGCCACCGAUGUACUUCUUCCUCCUAUAUAAGCCUGCGUACCCCAAAAACAUCCAGGGCGACCACGAAAAACUAUUUCCACCACCGUAACCUUCUGUAUCCACGAGAUCCCAUCUUGGAGCCUUCGCCGGCGCUCCGCCAGAGGGGGAAUCGACCACAGAGGGCUUCUACAUCAACACCAUAGCCCCUCCGAUGAGUUGUGAGUAGUUUACCACAGACCUUCGGGUCCAUAGUUAUUAGCUAGAUGGCUUCUUCUCUCUUUUUGGAUCUCAAUACUAUGUUCUCCCCUCUCUUCUGGAGAUCUAUUCGAUGUAAACUCUUUUUGCGGUGUGUUUGUCGAGAUCCGAUGAAUUGUGGGUUUAUGAUCAAGUUUAUCUAUGAGAAAUAUUUGAAUCUCCUCUGAAUUCUUUUAUGUAUGAUUGAGUUAUCUUUGCAAGUCUCUUUGAAUUAUCAGUUUUAUUUGGCCUACGAGAUUGAUCUUUCUUGCAAUGGGAGAAGUUCUUAGCUUUGGGUUCAAUCUUGCGGUGUUCUUACCCAGUGACAAAAAGGGUUGCAAGGCACGUAUUGUAUUGUUGCCAUCGAGGAUAAAAAGAUGGGGUUUAUAUCAUAUUGCAUGAGUUUAUCCCUCUACAUCAUGUCAUCUUGCUUAAGGCAUUACUCUGUUCUUAUGAACUUAAUACUCUAGAUGCAGGCAGGAGUCGGUCGAUGUGUGGAGUAAUAGUAGUAGAUGCAGGCAGGAGUCAGUCUACUUGUUGCGGACGUGAUGCCUAUAUACGUGAUCAUGCCUAGAUAAUCUCAUAAUUAUUCGCUUUUCAUCAAUUGCUCGACAGUAAUUUGUGCACCCACCGUAAUACUUAUGCUAUCUCGAGAGAAGCCACUAGUGAAACCUAUGGCCCCCGGGUCUAUAUUUUAUCAUAUAAGCUUCCAAUUUACUUUUAUUUGCAUCUCUACUUUUUGCAUCUGUAUUAUAAAAUACCAAAAAUAUAUUUAUCUUAUCAUACUAUCUCUAUCAGAUCUCACUUUCGCAAGUGGCCGUGAAGGGAUUGACAACCCCUUUAUUGUGAUGGUUGCGAGUUCUUUGUUUGUUUGUGUAGGUGCGUGGGACUUUUGAGGAGCCUCCUACCGGAUUGAUACCUUGGUUCUCAAAAACUGAGGGAAAUACUUACGCUACUAUUGCUGCAUCACCCUUUCCUCUUCAAGGAAAACCAACGCAAGCUCAAGACGUAGCAGGUGCUAACCUUUCUGACUGUCUUUUUAAGGCAGACAUGGAGGAAGGUAGUCAAAAACGUUCACUGCCCGUCCCAUUAGCUAGAGGAUCAUGCUAGCAAUGAAGACCCCGGCUUGUGCGAGGAUCUGGAUAUAUUUGUGGAGUUUGAUGAUGGAAUCUAUUAUCAAGCCAGUGUUGACGGCUCGAAAGUGGCCAUUACAGCCAACUACCCUGGCCUUUACCCUUUCGUUAAGGUGAGUGUUCAGAAAUCAUAUUCAAAAUGAGUAUCCCAUGUUUGCACCUCACCCAUUACACUGAACCACAUUACAUACAAUUGGCUUUCAGUGAACCGAAUCCAGUCGAGGGCAGCCCCAAGGACGGCCACAUCUUCAUGGGAUAAACGUUCAAAACGAAAGGAUACCGGGAGCGCCGUUGAUCCUCCUCCCUCGUCAAAUAGGUAUGACCUUUAAUAUGGGCCUAGACAUUAGACUGAAUUGUCAUAUUUCUCCCCCCUUUAUUAUCCCACGAGGAGCACACGGCGAACCGUAUCCAAAUAUAGGCUAGCCAAGCUUCGGCCAAUCCGGCGUCGGACUCGUCGAAUAGGACGAGGGCCCAUACGGAAGCAGCGCCGUCUAAUCCACCUCCUGAGGAUUUGGAUGACGUAUCCGUCACUAAUUCCAAAGUGGAGAGCGUGAUGAGUCAUCGUCUCCUGAAAGAGAGUCUGUGCACUUUGGCUUUUACCAAGAAAGAAUUUACCGACCUUAGCACCGUGAACGCAUAUAUCCGGGCCACCCGGGAUGUAUCAUUGGAGUUGCUCAUCUGUUCUCAAAGGAUAUGUAGGUUACUAUUUGUGCAAAUUUAAUAGAUAUGUGCCAGUAGCCCCUGAGACUUGAAGCGGUAUAGACUAACCAAUUUAAUGAUCGUUAUGACUACGUGUUCUCAAACAAAAGAACAACAUGUUGUCCUAGGAGCUUGAAACAAGACGAACAUAGCUUAAUGCUGCCACCUCAGAACUAGAGGAAAUGAAGAAAAGCCCAAUGACCACUGGAGAACAGAAAAACCUGGAGGAGGAAAUGAACAGGAAAUCCAAAGAGAUAAGGAUCUUAAAGGCCCAAUUGUCGGCCGUGCAAGAAGAGAACAAAAACUUGAAAGGUGGCAUACUCGGUAUGUCCCUUGAUCUAUCCAGGGGACUCAUAUAAUCUAAUAAUACGGCAUCUUAUAAUGUUGUCUUUGCAGAUCUCUUAACCGUGCGUCCCGAAGAUGAAGUGUCCAGAUUCCAAGGUGUCAUUCUAAGAGAACUGUCUAAAGUGCACGAGCAAGCCCGGGGAGCCAUGAAGAACACGAUCAAAGCCUUAUGGCCAUCCGAUGCCCCUCCAGAAAGUAUGGAGGGGUUGUCGAACCAGUAAAAAGGUGCUCGACGCCGUUUCGAGCUAUGGAAGUCGUCGGCUGUCAGGACCCCGAUUCUAAGUCACACCGAUCUAGCAUGUAACACAUCAUAUCACUUUGCGGCCUCACGCAUUGUAUUCCCACGAUUGCCACCUUACUAGGCCCGAGACAGUUUGCGCCUUCCCGCUCACGUAUAUGAUAGAGUCUCUAGCAUCCAUAUGACAAAGAACCCGGGCCGACAUGACUAGUCGUGAACCCAAAGUGGCGCGAACUUACAAGGACAUGCAUACAUGACCCAACAACAAACAUGUGAACCAACAACGUAUGAACCCAAGUUGUAGCAAACUACAAGGACAUAAAGGAGAAACGCGUGGCAUUUCCCCGAAGGGAUAGACACAGGAACGAAGAAGGACACAUGCCAGCCAGCCUAAGAGUUCUGGAGCAGUAGCAAGCUUCCAAGGCUCAAUGGAAGCACUAGGAGACGUUCCCCAGUAAGAGAGGCUACCAAGGAUAAACAACAAGGUUGUCGGAUCCCACACAUACCAAGCAUUUCAAAUCAUACACACAAUAUGCUCGAUAUGUGCAAAUACAACAUGGCAUCACAACAAAACUCUUUAACUCAAGUACUUUAUUUAAAAGGCUCUGGAGAGCCAUACAUAUCAUUCAUAUAGAUAGGGGUCACACGACCCGACAUUCCAGUCAUACAAGCAUACAAGCACAUGCGGAAGCAAACUUGUCUAAGUACGGACAACUAGUAAGCAAGAAGGCUUGAUGAAGCCCAUCUAUCUACAAAGGCCAUUCACAUCCUCAGAGUCACCACCUGAGCAUCAAGCUACUCAUCAACGUCGAGUUCUACAUAAAACCCUUCAGAAGGGGCGAUGUUCUCCUCUGCAUAGUAAUUAAGCAAACAUGAGUACAAAGAUACUCAGCAAGACUUACAUCAGAUCCUACAUACAGGCACAUUAUCAACAAAGGUGUAGUGGAGUUAUUGCAUCAAGCCAGCUUUGACUCUUGGCUAAACUAUCCUACAGGACAGCAACUUGUAAAUGUUUUCGCACAUGAGUCCACUAUUCAGCACAACAAUACACAACCGCGAAUCCUCUCCCGUCAUCCUACAGAAGGGCCAUCCACGACACUCACACUUGUCUUUAGGUUUUUAUAGUUUCCAUAUACUUGUCUAUGAAUUGUAUAGGCAACCAAGUGGUCAUUUACCACGGACACAACUAUUCGAAUAGAUGAUGUUAACCCUACAGGGGUGUACUUUUUCACACACGCUCUCACCACUUAUCGCCGUUUCCAUGACAUGUACUCAGAAACCUUCAAGCGGAAGUCCCUAGUCCAGGUUUAUCGCCUAUUCAGGUUCCAUCCAUAGGAAGUCCGGCUGAGGUUUCCACAUACGGCCCCAAACGAUGUGUACAGGGUUCCUGAGACACCAAACGGGCGCCUCGGUACACCAGGCCACGUACCUGCCGCAUCAAAGCCCACCCCGAGGGUCAACACUGUGCAUGGCCUCCAGUAUACAACAAACACCAGAAACUACUUGCAACUGCUGGACAGAGGACAAGGGCGGUUAAUAAGCCGAGAGGGUCAAUUAAGGAUCCCAAUGCAUGGUAGUAGCCGAUCUUAAAUCACACAUACAGAUCUCAAUUCUUAGAGACGGUUCCAAUGAAACAAUCCACCAUGUACUCCUACAUGGCCUCUCAUGAAUACAUUUACGAAAUCGUGUUCAACACUUCACUCUCAUCACCGACAUAAUCAUUUCACUCUGGCCCAUCACCCAGAUGAACAAGACCUGACAUGACUCUAAGCAUAGCAGGUAUAGCAAGGUAGGAAACACAAACAUGGUUCAAUCAACACCUACACAUGCUAGUGGGUUUUAUCUCAUUACUGUGGCAAUGAUAGGUCAUGCAGAGGAAAUGGGUUCAACUACCACAACACACAGCAAUUUGAAACGUUUGUAUCUUAAAUGCAGUAAAUGAGAGCAGGAGCAAGAACAUGGGAUUUUAUCGAUAUGAUCAAAUGGUGGUUGCUUCCCUGGCAGAUUGGUUGAUGGGUACUAUCCUUCAGUUGGAUAUUCACAGAAAUCGUCAGAGCAGAACCUACCGCAGAGAACACACCUGUAACACAAUCAAUACACGAUGAUAUGCAACAAUAUGAUGCAUGCAUAUGACAUGGCAAAAUGAGUGUGUUGGGCUAAUGCAACCACAACCGGAUGGUUUUGAGUCAUUUUGAACAAAAGGUUCAACCCCAAACUCAAACUUUGAACUUAAAUAGUGCUUUAUCAUGUUUUGAGCUAAACAGCAAGGUUAAGUUGUUUAAACAUGCAUGAUUCUUUGCAUGCAGAUGGAUAGAUUGGAUUUUUCUGAUCAUUUUUCAUAUAUAAAUCUUUGCAUUUGGAGUUACAGAUUAAUUUUUAUGAUUUUUUGAAGUUUGCAAUAAUUUCUGGAAUUUCCUGAAUAAGAAUAAAUCCAGAAAAGCCAAUUACUGCGUCAGCGUUGCGUCAGCAGGUCAACUGUGCGGUCCAGGUCAAACCUGACCAGUGGGACCCACUAGUCAGUGACAUAGUUAGUUAACUAACUAAUUAGGGUUAGUUUAAUUGCUAAACUAGGUUUGACCAGGGCCCACAUGUCAGUGACCCAGGGGGGUCAAAUCCCUGGUCAACUGGCGUUCAGCCACCGGCAACGACCAGACACAGCGGAGGGUGCGGGUUUUGCCCUCCGGCAUCCUAACAGGCGGCGGAGGGCAUCUACGUGUAGCUGGGAGUGAGUCGUGUUGAGUGGUGGUGGUGGUGGUUGGGCUCGGGGUCGCAGGAAACGAUGUCGGCGAUGAGUUUGGCGGCUGCUGGAGUUUUGGCGAGCUCGAACUCAAUGCUACGAUGGACGGGGAGGUGCGAGGUUAGCUCCUACAAGCUUUACGCGGUGAGGUGAGUGUGUUGGACAUGAUGGCGUGGCCGUUGCGUGGCCAGAGCCACGCCGACGGCAAGCUCAGGCGGCGGCGCGUGCGGGUGUGCUCGAUGUGGUUGCUAUGGUGCACAGCCGCGAGAAUGGAGAGGGGAAGGAGAGGCAGCAGCUCAUAGCAGUCAUGGCGAGCUAGUCAGCGGGGUCGGGGACGAGCCAAAGCGAGCGGUGUGGCGAAGUGGAUCUCCGGGGACGGCGAGGAAAAGCGAGGUCGGUGCAGUGGCUCCGGGCCAACGAGCACUCGGGGCUCGAUCUGCUCGAUGAAGUGGACGGUGGCGGAGCUCCUGGACAUGGCAGGGUGACGGGUAGGCGACGGUGGCUGCGGUUAUGACGGCGUCGCAGCGGCGGCUGCCUCGGCCAUGGUAGGGAGAGAGCGAGGGAGAGGCGCAGGGGGGUGAAUGGGGUGUCAGCGAGGUCAGUGCGGCGAGAAGGGAGUCAUCCACGCGGCGAAACGAUGUCCAGGUAAGGCUGGCGAGCUGGGAGGUGCGUGGCGAGCACGGGCGCGCGGCCACGGAGCUCCCUGCCUGCCUUGCGGGAGGAAGCAGCUGGCUGGCAUGGGCCAGCACAGUGCUGGGCUGGCCAAUGGGCUGCCAGGUAAGUUUGCGAGGUAAGUCGACUUUUUCUUUUAUUUUCUAUUUUCUUUUAUUCUGUAACUUUAGGGCUUUACUAAAAAUACCUAUGCACUUUCAAAAUUCAUGAGACUUCUUGUGGUCACUAUUUGGAUUAUGUCCAACAGUAAACAUUUCAGUUCAUGAAUAUUUGGACAUUUAAAAUAAUAUAUAAAAUUUAAAUGCCCAAAUGCAAAUAAGGUAUGAUUUCAUUCAGUGACCCAUUGCUGUCCUAGAAAAAUGCGAUCCAUUUGUCAGAGGUUCUAGACCAAGGCAAAGAUGAUGAACAUUUUAGAAGGGCAUUUCAGGUUCAUUGGAAAAGUAUUUUAGUAACACUAGUUGGAUUAAGUGGUGUUGGGGGUUCCUGCCAUCCCCAUUUCAACAUACUGAGAAAUUUAAACAUGAUGCAAACACUCUAAUGCAUGCACUGACUAGGGUUGUGACAACUCACCCCCACUCAGAAAAAUCUCGUCCCGAGAUUUUGGAUCCGCCGGAAAGAAAGUGCGGUACUCAAGUCGAAGACGAUCCUCCCUUUCCCAAGUAGCUUCUUUCUCAGAAUGAUGUGACCAUUGAACCUUGAGAAACUUGAUGUUAUGGAAUCGAGUAGUACGCUCGGCUUGAUCAAGGAUACGAAUGGAAGACAGCAUGAACUCUGGAAGACAGCAUGAAGAUCAAGUGUUUCGUGAUCCCUCCAAGGAUAGGAUGCGAGAAGCAAUGCCUGAGUUGAGAAACGUGGAAGACAACAUGAACUCUGGAAAGAUGCAGAGGUAGUUCCUAUUGGUAGGCAACUUCUCCUCAUUUGGCAAGAAUGCGAAAAGGACCAAUGUAGCGAGGAGCCAAUUUGCCUUUGAUACUGAAGCGAUGGGUUCCCUCCAGAGGAGUAACCCGAAGGUAAGCCUCCCCGCCGACUACAUAAGUCAUGGUCUUAUGUUUAUGAUUAUAUUGCGUCUUCUGACGAGAUUGGGCUGUAACUUUUCACUAACAAUACGAACUUGCUCUUUUGCUUCCCGAAUCAUAUUCGGGCCAAAUAAUUGCCUUUCCUCGGUUUCUGACCAGUUAAGAGGCGUUCGACACUUUCGUCCAUAGAGAACUACAAAAGGAGCUUUGCCCAAGCUAGAUUGAUAGCUAUUGUUAUAAGCAAAUUCGGAAAAUGGAAGGCAUUUCUCCCAAUCCAUUCUGAAUGAGAUAACAGAAGCUUGGAGCAUAUCUUCCAGAAUUUGAUUGAUGCGUUCUAAUUGACCACUUGAUUGAGGGUCGAAGGCGGUGCUAAAGGAGAGACGAGUCCCCAUAGCAUGUUGGAAACUUCCCAAAACCAAGACAUGAACAGACUUCCACGGUCUGAGUUAAUAUCCAAUGGAACACCAUGAAGAGACACUAUUCAGGAGAUAUACAAAUCUGCUAGCUGGCUAGCAGUUAUACUCUCUCGAACAGGCAGGAAAUGGGCUACUUCGGAAAGAUGAUCGAUGGCGACGAAGAUAGCAUUAUUCCCUCUCUUGGUCCUAGGAAAACCGGUGAUGAAAUCCAUUCCGAUUUUAUCCCAUUUCCAUUCAGGAAUAGCUAAAGGUUGGAGGGUGCUAGCAGGUUGUUGAUGCUUUGCUUUAAGACGACGACAGACGUCGCAACUAGCAAUAUAUUGAGCAAUUUAUCUCUUCAUCCUAGUCCACCAAAACCUCUGGCGUAGGUCUUGAUACAUUUGUGUACUACCGGGAUGAAUUGUGAGAGGAGAUUCAUGAGCUUCCUUAAGGAUCAAUUGCCGUAGUUGUUGUUUCUGGGGAACCACUAAGUGGUUCUCGAAGAAGACAACACCUUGAUCAUUCACACAGAAACAUUUAGCAGCCUUGUUGGCAAUGUUCUCCUUGAGCCGAGAUACUCCCCUGUCAUACCGUUGAGCGGUUAUGAUCUGAUCCAUAAGUGUAGCUUUUGCCACCAAGGUAGAUAGGAAUCCUUGAGGAACAAUGUGAAAGUUAAGCUUCUGAAAUUCCUAAUGGAAAAGUGGUUGACUUUGUUGUAACAUUAGGUUGUUACAAUAAGAUUUAUGACUUAGUGCAUCAGCCAUGACAUCGAAUUUUCCCAGAGUGUAAGUUAUUCCUAAGUCGUAAUCCGUGAUCAACUCGACCCAACGUCUUUGCCUGAGAUUCAAAUAUGGGUUUGGUGAAGAUAUAUUUCAGACUUUGGUGAUCGGUGAAGAUUUUGCAAUGAUUACCAAGAAGGUAAUGUCGCUAGGUUUUGAGUGCAUGGACUACAACUUCAAGCUCUAGAUCAUGUGUAGGAUAGUUUUCCUCAUGUGGAUGUAACUGCCGUGAAGCAUAGGCAAUUACAUGACGAUCUUGCAUGAGUAUGCAAUCAAGUCCUUGUUGCGAGGCGUCGCAGUAGAUAACAAAGUCCUUUGAGAAAUCUGGUGGUACCAGUACAGGAGCAGAUGUCAGGAGUCUUUUCAGCUCCUGAAAACCGUACUAGCACUAUGGGGUCCACUCAAACUUUUUAUCUUUCUUGAGGAGUUCGGUUAGAGGUUUAGCAACCUUGGAGAAGUUCUUGACAAAGUGGCGGCAGUAGCUCGCUAAGCCAAGGAAACUCCAAAGUUGCUUGAUAGGUGGAGUCCAAUUAAGAACGGCCUGAACUCGCUCAAGAUUGACAUCAAUAACCUUACCAGAGAUUACAUGGCCUAGGUAGGUCACUUCUAGCAACCAGAAUCCACAUUUAGAGAAUUUUGCAUUAAGGCGAUGCUCUCAAAGUUUCGUCAAUACCAGCCUUAGAUGAUCGGCAUGUUCUUCCUCAUUCUUAGAGUGGAUGAGUAUAUCAUCGAGGUAAACCAUGACGAAUUUAUCUAGGUACUCCAUGAAGAUCGAGUUCAUUAACCGAGAGAAGGUGGCUGGGGCAUUGGUUGAACCGAAGACAUGACGGUGUACUCCUAUUGGCCAUAACGAGUAACAAAGGCCGUUUUGGGAAUGUCGUAGUUCUUGAUUUUGAUUUGAUGGUAGCCCAACCUCAAAUCCAUCUUGGAAAAGACUGAGGAUCCAGAGAGCUGGUCAUACAGGUUGUUGAUCUCGGGGAGCGGAUACUUGUUCUUUAUGGUGACCAAGUUGACGGGUCGAUAAUAUACAACCAUCCGAUCCGUAUCAUCCUUCUUCUUGACGAGAGGACAGGACAAGACCAUGGAGAAGAACUAGGAUGGAUGAAACCCUUUUUCAAGGACUCAUCGAGUUGUUUCUUGAGUUCAGCUAGUUCUAGGGGUGCCAUCUUAUCGGGUCUCCUAGAGAUUGGGACAGUUCCACGGACAAGAUCUAUCACAAACUCGACAUCCCUGUCAGGUGGAACACCCGAUAGUUCUUCUAGAAAGACAUCCGGGAAGUCACGGGCUACCGGAAUAUCUUCGACGUCUGGCAGAGGACUAGCAUUAAGAGAAUAGAGCUGACGCUCAGACACUCGGGUCAAGACAUUGACUACCUUGCUCGAUGGAUAUGUAAGUUGAACAGUCCUAGAGUAACAAUCAAUCUUAGCAUGAUGCGUUGUCAUCCAGUCCAUACCCAAGAUGAUAUUAAUGUCCGAGGAUUAGAGAGCUAUCAAAGAUGCAAGGAAAACAAGUCUAUCAACAAGAAUUUCAUUCCCAUGUCUUACUCUAGAAUUUUGCCAUCUGGAGCAAGGAGUUGAAAUUUCCAUGGUGGUGGGCAUAUCACAGAAUGUGUUGUUGUGAAAAAGGGCAUAGCUAUCAGAUAUAAAUGAAUGAGAUGCUCCAGUAUCGAAAAGAACAAAUGUCGGAUGGCGGUUAACAAGGAGCGUACCAAGAACGACGUUGGGAUCAUCCUGAGCCUCCUCAGCUGAGACACAGUUCACAUGUCCACGUGCAGUGGUGGCUGGCUUGGCAUAAUACACCUUCCCUGCUGGCUUGCCAUGACCAAUAGUCUUUCUGGAUUGAUUGGGGUUGUUGUUCUGGGGACACUCUCGCAUGUAGUGACCCGACUCUCCACACUUGAAGCAAGUCACAACAUUGGUGCGUGGAGGAUCAUUCGCGGCUGGUCCACCAUAAGCGUCAGGCGGUGCAUACUACUGGGUUGGACGAGGCGCCUGAUAGGAUGGCCUCGGAGUGAAUCUUGGUGGUAGAGCCGUGUUUGGCACCCACAGACGAUGCUUCUGUGAGCCAGAACUGGAUGAGGUACCAGUAUCACGGGAGUGCUUGCGUGUAGCUUCAUAGUCAGUCUGGCUUGUCUGAGCACUGAUAGCCUUGUUCACUAGCUUCUGGAAGGAGAUGCACUCAUGCAGACGGAGAUCACGGCGAAGCUCGGGGCUGAGUCCCUUGCGGAACCUCUCCCGCUUCUUGGCGUCGGUGGACACAUCUUCAGGUGCAUAGCGUGCUAGGUUUCCAAACUCUCGGCUAUAGGCAUGCACGGUUAGCCUACCCUGGGUGAAGUUGCAAAACUCCUCCCUCUUACGAUCCAUCAGACCUUCCGGGAUAUGGUGCUCAUGAAAAGCCUCGCUGAAGUCUACCCAAGUGGUAUCUUGGCCAGCUGGGCGCAUGGCCUCAUAGUUUUCCCACCAAAGGCUGGCGGGGCCCUCAAGGUGAUAAGCAACAUAAGUGACCUUGUCAGCUUCGGCUACGUGGGAAGAACAUAGCUUAUGGCUGAUUCUACGAAGCCAACCAUCCGCAUUGAGAGGCUCGACGUAAUGAUGGAAGGUUGGUGGGUACAACUUGAUAAAGUCAUUGAGAGACACCAAGUCGUUCCUCUUGUGAUGUGCAGUGUUCUGCUCAAUCCGUUCUAGCAGUCGGUUGGUCUCACGUUUGUUUCUUUCAGCCUCCAACAUGAACUCGGCCAAGGAAGGUGGAUGAGGCUAAUUCCCAUCCCUAGCUCCACUGUCUUUAGCUUACUCCUGGGGAGCAGGGGUGCUUCGGGUGUUGACCAUCCUACGAAAACAAAACAACGGCUUAGACAAGGAUGGCAAAACUCUGACAUAGGAGUGCAGAAUGUAAUGGAUGACACAGAAUGCAGAGAUGUUCAUCUGUAUGACAUGGUAAUACAGAAACUGCCAUAUAUAUACCAUCGGUCAUACACACCAUACAUAGUAUAGUACAAGCCCAGGCUGAAGUACAACUGCGGUGAAAGAACAUUACAUCUCAUCAGAGGCAUUCCAAGCUCCUAUACAUUAUUUAUCUACACCUCCGGAACUCAGUACACACUAAGUCAUAUUCCACAAGACACGCAGGACUGUGGAGAUACAACUACUACAAUACUGCUUCUACUACCACAAUCUUGCUCAGUCGUCUCCGUCUCCAUAGUAAUCUUCAUAAAGAUUACCCCCGUAGCCUGGAAGUGGAACAUGCUGAUAUGGAAACUCCCGAUCGUGUGGGGCCUGUGGACCAUAAGGAUACGGAUGUGGCCUUGGUCCACCGGCUGGUGGCAGACGACGCCCAUGUGGAGGUGUAAUGCCUCCAACAUCAGGAUAGUCCAUACGGGCUGGCAGACGAGUGAGUACGGGGUACAAAUCCCGCAUAUCAAGAUAACCAAUAUACAUGGCGGGUGCAAGCCGUGUCAGUGUGGCCCAGUGGUCAGCUCGAGUGUUGUAAAGCUCCAUCUCGAGGGCACGUACCUCACGGUCCCUUUCCUCCAGCAUCUUUGUGGUGGUCCGAAGGCGCGACUCCUCAUGAGUAGCAUCAGUGUAAAGACUAGUCUAGUAACCCUCCUAACCAGUAAGUGCUGCUGGCAGGUAGCCGAACUCAGUGUCCUGAAGCGACGCGUGACUAUCUUGAAUGAUAGUUAUCAUGGAGUAAGCGGCAUCUUGGACUGACGUCUCCCCGGUAACUCCAAGCCCGUUAGACGAGUGAAAGGGGUCGGUAGCUCCGGGGUAGGAAGGAUAUAUCCUUACUGUGCAUAUGUACUGAGUCUGAUUAAAAUCUCGAUACUACUCUUCUACAGUAUAUUUGGGAUACCAUCGAUAGCCAGUUCCGGUCAUCCAUGAUCCAGCAUGGCUGCGUGACCGGGCACAUCAAAGCACCGGGUCAGACGAACCACCUGAUGUGGUGUGAGAGAAGCCAUAUGAAACACGAGAUAAUGCAAAGGCAUUAGAAUUUCUAGGACAAAUCGGAUAGCAUAACGGCUGUAAAUGCUCAAAAAGGAUUUUGAGACAUUUCACAAAAAAUGCAUAAUCACUCAACAACAUCAUAUCAAGGUUCUGGAUCCAACUAAUAACAUACUGAAGUACUAGAACUGAACUGGGGCUUGUAACUAACAAUCUUAUAAGAUUCUAUGGAUUAGUAACACGUGAACGUGAUAGAAAGAUGAGAUCCUAGUCCUUAACCCCCGUGGAAAGAAUGGGCUGACUAAGGUCAGAAUGCCAUGAGUUAAAGGAGUAAAAAGAGCCUUACGUUUCGACCCACAAUCAAUUCCCCUACAUAUAGCUAAAGCAUUUCUAGACUCGACAUCGACCAGCUUGGCUUGGAGAACCUACAUGCAGUCCGGCUCUGAUGCCAAUCCUGUCAGGACCCCGAUUCUAAGUCACACUGAUCUAGCAUGUACACAUCAUAUCACUUUGCGGCCUCACGCACGGUAUUCCCACGAGUGCCACCUUACCCGGCUCAGGACUAUUUGCACCUUUUGGCUCACGUAUAUGAUAGUGUCGCUAGCAUCCAUAUGACAAAGAACCCGGGCCGACAUGACUAGUCGUGAAACCGAAGUGGCGCUAACUUACAGGGACAUGCAUACAUGACCCAGUUUGUAGCAAGCUACAAGGACUUAAAGGAACAACAUGUGACAUUUCCCCGAAGGGACAGACACAGGAACAAAGAAGGACACAUGCCGCCCAGCCUAAGUGUUCCGGAGCAGUAGCAAGCUACCAAGGCUCAGUGGAAGCACCAGGAGACAUUUCUCGGUAAGAGAGGCUACCAAGGAUAAACAACUAGGUUGUCGGAUCCCACACAUACCAAGCAUUUCAAAUCAUACACACAAUAUGCUUGAUAUGUGCAAAUACAACAUGGCAUCACAACAAAACUCUACAACUCAAGUACUUUAUUGAAAAGUCUCUAGAGAGCCAUACAUAUCAUUCAUACAGAUAGGGGUCACACGACCCGACAUUCAAGUCAUAUAAUCAUACAAGCACAUGCGGAAACAAACUUGUCUCAGUACAGACAACUAGAAAGCAAGAAGGCUUGAUGAAGCCCAUCUAUCUACAAAGGCCCUUCACAUGCUCAAGGUCACAACCUAGGCAUCAAGCUACUCAUCAACGUCGAGUUCUACAUAAAACCCUUCAGAAGGGGCGGCGUUUUCCUCUGCAAUAGUAAUUAAGCAAACAUGAGUACAAAGGUACUCAGUAAGACUUACAUCAGAUCCUACAUACAUGCACAUUAUCAACAAAGGGGUAGUGGAGUUAUUGCAGCAAGCCAGCUUUGACUCUUGGCUAAACUAUCCUAUGAGACAGCAACUUGUUAAUGUGUUGCGCACACGAGUCCACUACUCACCACAACAAUACACUACCGCGAAUCCUCUCCCGUCAUCCUAUGGAAGGGACAUUGAUACGUCCAUUUUGCAUCAUGCUUUUAUAUCAAUAUUUAUUGCAAUAUGGGAUGUUACUACACAUUAUGUCAUAAUACUUGUGCCUUUUCUCUCUUAUUUUACAAGGUUUACAUGAAGAGGGAGAAUGUCGGCAGCUGGAUUCUGGGCUGGAAAAGGAGCAAAAUAUUAGAGACCUAUUCUGCACAACUCCAAGAGUGCUGAACUCCACGAAAGUUAGUUUUGGAUUAUAUUAAAAAUAUUGGGCGAAGAAAGCACCAGAGGGGGGCCACCCACUGUCCACGAGGGUGGGGUGCGCGCCCUACCCCCCUGGGCGCGCCCCUGCCUCCUGGGCCACCUAGAAGCCCCCCGAUGCCCAUCUUCUGGUAUGAGGUGUACUUUGCCCUGGAAAAAAUCAUAAGGAAGCUUUCUGGAUGAAGCGCCACCGUCUCGAGGCCGAACCUUGGCGGAACCUAUCUAGGGCUGUGGCGGAGCUGUUCUGCCAAGGAAACAUCCCUCCGGGAGGGGGAAAUCGUCACCAUCGAUCCUUUCAUCGCGAAGGGGUCAAUCUUCAUCAACAUCUUCAAAAGCACCAUCUCCUCUCAAACCCUAGUUCAUCUCUUGUAUCCGAUCAUUAUCUCAAAACCUCAUAUUAGUACAUGUGGGUUGCUAGUAGUGUUGAUUACUCCUUGUAGUCUAUGCUAGUUGGUUUAUUCGGUGGAAGAUCAUAUGUUCAUAUCCUUUAUGCAUAGUAAUACCCCUCUGAUUAUGAACAUGAAUAUGAUUUGUGAGUAGUUACGUUAGUUCCUGAGGACAUGGGGGAAGUCUUGUUAGAAGUAGCCAUGUGAAUUUGGUAUUCAUUUGAUAUUUUGAUGAGAUGUAUGUUGUCUCUCCUCUAGUGGUGUUAUGUGAACGUUGACUACAUGACACUUCACCAUUAUUUUAGCCUAGGGGAAGGCAUUGGGAAGUAAUAAGUAGAUGAUGGGUUGCUAGAGUGAUAAAAGAUUAAACUCUAGUUUAUGCGUUGCUUCGUAAGGGCUGAUUUGGAUCCAUAUGUUCCAUGCUAUGGUUAGGUUUACCUUAAUUCUUCUUUCGUAGUUGCGGAUCCUUGCGAGAGGGGUUAAUCAUAAGUGGGAUGCUUGUCCAAGGAAGGACAGUACUCAAGCACCGGUCCACCCACAUAUCAAAUUAUCAAAGUAACGAACGUGAAUCAUAUGAGCGUGAUGAAAACUAGCUUGACGAUAAUUCCCAUGUGUCCUCGGGACCACUUUCCUUUAUAUAAGAGUUUGUCCAGGCUUGUACUUUGCUACAAAAAAGACUAGGGCACCUUGCUGCACCUUGUUUACUUUUGUUACUUGUUACUCGUUACGAAUUACCUUAUCACAAAACUAUCUCUUACCGAUAAUUUCAGUGCUUGCAGAGAAUACCUUCCUGAAAACCGCUUGUCAUUUCCUUUUGCUCCUCGUUGGGUUCGACACUCUUACUUAUCGAAAGGACUAUGAUAGAUCCCCUAUACUUGUGGGUCAUCAAUACUCUUUUCUGGCGCCCUUGCCGGGGAGUGAAGCGCCUUUGGUAGGUGGAAUUUGGUAAGGAAAAUUUUAUAUAGUGUGCUCAAAUUUACUGUCACUUGUUACUAUGGAAAAUAAUCCUUCGAGGGGCUUGUUCGGGGUAUAUUCACCCCGACCAUUAGAGAAAAGAGUUGAUCCUAAACCUACUAAACCUACUGAAAUUUUUUACUUUGAAAUUCCUUCGGGUAUGAUAGAGAAACUGCUAGCUAAUCCUUUUGCAGGAGAUGGAACACUACAUCCCGAUAUGCACCUAAUCUAUGUGGAUGAAUUGUGUGGAUAUUUAAGCUUGGAGGUAUGCCCAAGGAUGUUAUCAAGAAGAAGGUCUUCCCUUUAUCCUUGAAGGGAAAGGCAUUGACAUGGUUUAGGCUAUGUGAUGAUAUUGGAUCAUGGAACACCAACCGAUUGAAAUUGGAAUUUCGAAAGAAGUUUUAUCCUAUGCAUCUGGUUCAUCGUGAUCACAAUUAUAUAUAUAAUUAUUGGCCUCGGGAAGGAGAAAGUAUAGCUCAAGAUUGGGGGAGGGUUAAAUCAAUGUUAUAUUCAUGCCCCAAUCAUGAGAUCUCAAGAGAAAUUAAUAUUCAAAAAAUUUAUGCUUGACCUUCUCUCAAUAAUCGCUCCAUGCUCGAUAUUUCUUGUACUGGUUCUUUUAUGAUGAAGACUAUGGAAUUCAAAUGGGAUUUAUUGGAAAGAAUGAAACACAACUCUGAAUAUUGGGAUCUCUAUGAAGGUAAGGAGUUGGGUAUAACACCUAAGUUUGAUUGUGUUAAAUCUUUUAUGGAUACCGAUGUUUUUUCGUGAAUUUUAGCAGUAAAUAUGGACUUGACUCUGAGAUAGUAGCUUUUUUCUGUGAAUCAUUUGCUACUCAUGUUGAUCUCCCUAUAGAGAAGUGGUUUAAAUAUGAUCCUCCCAUUGAAGUAAAAGUAGUUGAACGUAUUAAAGUUGAAGAAAAGACUAUCACUUAUAAUGUUGAUCCUAUUGUUCCUACUACUUAUAUUGAAAAACCACCUUUCCCUGUUAGAAUAAAGGAUCAUGCUAAAGCUUCAACUGUGGUUCGUAAGAGUAAUGCUAGAACACCUACAUCCCCUGAGAAAAUUAAAGUUUAACCUAGUAUUGCUAUGGUUAAGGAUCUCUUGGUUGAUAAUAUUGACAAGCAUGUUAUUUACUUUUGUGAUGAAGCUGCUAGAAUUGCUAGACCCGAUACUAAACAUAAACAUAGACCUGUUUUUGGCAUGCCUGUUGUUUCUGUUAAAAUAGGAGAUCAUUGUUAUCAUGGAUUAUGUGAUAUGGGUGCUAGUGCCAGUGCUAUCCUCAUUCCUUAUACAAAGAAAUUAUGCAUGAUAUUGCACCGGCUGAGACAGAGGAUAUUGAUGUUACAAUUAAGCUUCCAAAUAGAGAUACUAUUUCACCAAUUAGGAUUGUUAGAGAUGUUGAAUUGUUGUGUGGGAAAGUCAAAUAUCCUACUAAUUUUCUUUUUCUUGGUUCCCCGCGAGAUGACUUUUCUCCCAUUAUAUUUGGUAGACCCGUCUUGAACACUGUUAAUGCUAAGAUAGACUGCGAAAAGGAUAUUGUUACUGUUGGUUUAGGGGAUAUGUCUCAUAAUUUUAAUUUUGCUAAAUUUCGUAGACAACCCCAUGAUAAAUAAUUGCCUAGUAAAGAUGGAAUUAUUGGUCUUGCCUCUAUUUCCGUGCCUCCUAAUGAUCCUUUAGAACAAUAUUUGCUAGACCAUGAAAAUGAUAUGCUUAUGAAUGAAAGAAGGGAAAUAGAUGAAGUAUUCUUUAAAGAUGGACCCAUUUUGAAACACAACUUGCCUGUUGAAAUCCUAGGGGAUCCUCCUCCACCCGCGGGUGAUGCCGUGUUUGAGCUUAAACCAUUACCUGAUACUCUCAAAUAUGCUUAUCUUGAUGAAAAUAAGAUAUAUCCUGUUAUUAUUAGUGCUAACCUUUCAGAGCGGGAAGAAGAGAAAUUAUUGAAAACUCUGAAGAAGCACUGUGCUGCUAUUGGAUAUACUCUUGAUGAUCUCAAGGGUGUUAGCCCCACUCUAUGCCAACACAAAAUAAAAUUGGAGAAAGAUGCUAAACCGGUUGCUGAUCACCAACGAUGGUUAAAUCCUAAGAUGAAAGAAGUCGUAAGAAAUGAAAUACUAAAGCUUCUGGAGGCAGGUAUAAUUUAUCCUAUUGCUGAUAGUCAAUGCGUAAGUCCCGUCCAUUGUGUCCCUAAGAAGGGGGGUAUUACUAUUGUUCCUAAUGAUAAACAUGAAUUGAUUCCACAACGAAUUAUUACAGGUAAUAGAAUGGUAAUUGAUUUCCGCAAAUUGAAUAAAGCUACUAGAAGAGAUCACUACCCUCUGCCUUUUAUUUAUCAAAUGCUAGAAAGAUUAUCCAAACAUACACAUUUUUUCUUUCUAGAUGGUUAUUUUGGUUUCUCUCAAAAACCUGUGUCAAAAGAGGAUUAGGAUAAGACCACUUUUACUUGCCCUUUCGGCACCUUUACCUAUAGACAUAUGCCUUUUGGUUUACGUAAUGCACCUGCUACCUUUCAAAUAUGUAUGACUACUAUAUUCUCUGACUUUUGCGAAAAGAUUGUUGAGGUUUUCAUGGAUGAUUUCUCCGUGUAUGGAACUUCUUUUGAUGAUUUCUUAAGCAACCUUGAUCGAAUCUUUCAGAGAUGCAAAGAAACUAGUGUUUUCUUGAAUUGGGAGAAGUGCCACUUUAUGGUUAAUGAAGGUAUUGUCUUGGGGCAUAAAAUUUCUGAAAGAGGUAUUGAAGUUGACAAAGCUAAAGUUGAUGCUAUUGAAAAGAUGUCGUGUCCCAAGGACAUCAAAGGUAUAAGAAGUUUCCUUGGUCAUGCCGGUUUUUAUAGGACGUUCAUUAAAGACUUCUCAAAACAAUUUAGGCCUCUGACUAAUCUAUUACAAAAAGAUGUUCCUUUUGUCUUUGAUGAUGAUUGUGUAGAAGCAUUUGAAAUACUUAAGAAAGCUUUGAUUUCUGCACCUAUUGUUCAGCCACCUGAUUGGAAUUUACCCUUUGAAAUCAUGUGUGAUGCUAGUGUUUAUGAUGUAGGUGCUGUUCUAGGACCAAGAGUUGAUAAGAAAUUGAAUGUUAUCCAAUAUGCUAAUAAAAAUGUAAAGAGCGCCCAGAGAAAUUAUGCUACUACUAAAAAAGAUUUUUUUAGCAGUUAUGUUUGCUUGUGAUAAGUUCAGACCUUAUAUUGUUGAUUCCAAAGUAACUGUUCACACUGAUCAUGCUGCUAUUAAAUACCUUAUGAAAAAGAAAGAUGCUAAACCUAGACUUAUUAGAUGGGUUCUCUUGCUACAAUAAUUUGAUAUGCAUCACUACAAAACAAGACACACCUGUGACAUUUUGGGCCGAACGAAUUUUUUUUCUAUCAUACAUAUGACACUUCUAUGACGAUAAUUGUGACAAAACCCGGUAUCAUCAUAGAUGUGGUGGACUCCUACUUCUAUGACAAAAAAUCAUGACAGAAAAUGGGCUUUCUGUCCUAGGCGGGCCAGAGAUGCUGCUGCAUGAUAUUCGUUGUGCCGUCCUUGAUGGAAAAAACCGUGGUAGAAGCGAGGGCGAGGAAAAUUUCAGGGAGUUCCCGAUUAUGGUGGGUGGUCGGGGGCCGAGCGAUGCGCGUUUCUCUCGUACACAUACGCUCAUGUGUGCGAGGCGUUGGCUCUAACUGAACUCGAGCGAGGCGUUGGGCUCUAACUGAACCCGAGCGAUUGCACUGCAGGCUACGUGUUACUGAACCCUAGCGAUCGAUCGAUGGCUAUUAACUGAACCCGAUCGAGCGAUUCCUUCACUACUACUGCUAACUGUAGCCGAUCGAUUGGAUGAACACUGAGCAUUUCGGGGGGCUUUGGAUGAACUGUGAGCGGUGGGAGUAGAUGAACAGCACCCCGUGGCGUUGCCUCUGGAUGAACAGGACGACCCCGUGGACGGCUGGAUGAACAGUAGACGAUGGAGGGGUGCCCAUGGAGGGGUGGUUGAACAGUAGCCGAUGGAGUAGCACGCGGUGGAGCUUGGAAGAACAGGAGCUCGUGGAGGCUGGAGGAGGUCUACGGUAGCCCAUGGAGGCUGGAGGAGGUCGACGGUGGAGAUAAACAGUAUCCCGUGGAGUCCCGUUUUGCGGUACGCCACACCCCUCCUGAUGAACAGGACCCCUGUUUCGACCGUAGCAUUCCAACACAAGUCCGUUUCGACCGUAGCGUUCCAACACAAGUCUGUUUCGUCUGUUUUGCGGUAUGCCACACCCCUCCCGAUCAACAGGACCCCCGUUUCGACCGUAGGAGGUCCGUUUCCUCCAUUCUGCGGUACGCCAGACCCCUCCCGAUGAACAAGAUCCCGUUCCGAACGUGACCGGUCGAACACAAGGCCGUUUCCUCCGUUUUGCGGUACGCCAGGCCUUGUUUCUAUCACCUGUUCCAUCCAAGCCCUCCCGAUGAAUACGACGACGCAUUCCGUUCCGACUCAGCAUGUUGGCUCCCCAUGAACACGACGACGAUGCUGUUUCUCCAUUCCGACCCAGCCAUGGACACGAGCCCUGGCCGUACCUAUGCGCGAGUAGGCGUUCGAGACCCCACCUGUAUGUACACAUAUGUGGUCGUAUUUUCUUUCUUGCACACUGGCCGAUGUACGUACGUGUACAUGCUACGUGCGAGCCUCUACUAUGACACAUGCGCGCCUCUACAUCCACCAGUAUGUACGUACACGUUCACGACCAGAAUGACAAUGCUACGUACGCUUCGACCAGGUGGGUCCCGACUGUCAGGCACUUCCUUGCGUGCGAAGAUGUAGCUCGUGGGUCCAAACAGUCAGGGGCGAAUCAUUUUUUUUGCCCGGACGCACUUCCUUGCGUGCGAAGGUGUAGCUGGUGGGUCCCAGUAGUUAAGGGGCGAACCAUUUUUUUUGCCCGGACACACUCCUUGCCUGCGAAGAUGUAACUGGUGGGUCCCAGCAGUCAGGGGGGCGAAUUGUUUUUUUUGCCANNNNNNNNNNNNNNNNNNNNNNNNNNNNNNNNNNNNNNNNNNNNNNNNNNNNNNNNNNNNNNNNNNNNNNNNNNNNNNNNNNNNNNNNNNNNNNNNNNNNNNNNNNNNNNNNNNNNNNNNNNNNNNNNNNNNNNNNNNNNNNNNNNNNNNNNNNNNNNNNNNNNNNNNNNNNNNNNNNNNNNNNNNNNNNNNGGGGCGAAUCGCUUUUUUUCGGACGCACUUCCUUGCAUGCGAAGAUGUAGCUAGUGGGUCCCAGCAGUGAGGGGGGCGAAUCAUUUUUUAUCCCGGACGCACUUCCUUGCGCGCGAAGAUGUAGCUGGUGGGUCCCAGCAGUCAGGGGGCGAAUCAUUUUUUUCAUGAAAUACGGUGGCCCGUCCAGUGGGUCCCUGCUGUUAGGUGGAGGAAUAAUUAUUUUGCGUGUAAUAAGGAGGCACUUCCUUGCGGCUGUCGUGGACCCAGCUGUCAGCCUCUCCAUGUACAGUACUCUUCCGAUGGAAGUCGGUCGUUAACCACAUUGACCACGCCGCGCCGAGAGCACCACGGCGGUGGACGACGGCGAGGCCUAGGAAGGGGACGACGUGGAGCUCAGGAAGACGCAGCAGUGGAUGCCCACGUGAAGAGGAGUACGAGGGUUCACUAGUUUGGCUGUGGUGUGAGGCUGCCGUCGCCGCAGAGUAACAGGGGGUGUGGGUGAAUAGAGGGAUGUCCUAGCCAGCGGUGGGAGUAGUAGGGGGCGGUGAGGCCUCUGCGGCAUCACAGCCGGCCACGGGAGGCAGGAGCAUGCUGCACGACCGGCGCUACUUUGGGCGGCUGGAGCACGAAGACCAGAGGUUGAAGAGGCACUACGGUCGUUGGAUGGACAUCGUACGGUCAGUGGAGCUAGAAUCAUUCAUAUUGACUAAGUUGACAAAGCCCUCCAUCCCCGUCAACUUAGUAGGCCAACAAGUCAUCCUCCCACCAAGGUGGGUCCCAGCUAGCCGGGGGAGUAUUCAUUAUUUUGUGCAUAAUAAGGAGGCACUUCCGGUGGNNNNNNNNNNNNNNNNNNNNNNNNNNNNNNNNNNNNNNNNNNNNNNNNNNNNNNNNNNNNNNNNNNNNNNNNNNNNNNNNNNNNNNNNNNNNNNNNNNNNNNNNNNNNNNNNNNNNNNNNNNNNNNNNNNNNNNNNNNNNNNNNNNNNNNNNNNNNNNNNNNNNNNNNNNNNNNNNNNNNNNNNNNNNNNNNNNNNNNNNNNNNNNNNNNNNNNNNNNNNNNNNNNNNNNNNNNNNNNNNNNNNNNNNNNNNNNNNNNNNNNNNNNNNNNNNNNNNNNNNNNNNNNNNNNNNNNNNNNNCGUUUUUUUCGCGAAAUACGGUGGCCCGUCCGGUGGGUCCCUGCUGCCAGGUGGAGGAAUAAUUAUUUUGCGCAUAAUAAGAAGGCACGACACUUCCUUGCAACUUUCAUGGACCCAGCUGUCAGCCUCUCCACGUACAGUACUAUUCCGAUGGAAGUCGUUCCUUUACCACGUUGACCACGCCGCGUCGAGAGCACUAGGGCGGUGGACGACGGCGAGGCCUGGGAACGAAGGGGACGAUGCGGAGCUGGGGAAGAAGCGGCAGUGGAUGCCCACGCGUAGAGGAGUAGGAGGGUUCACUAGUUCGGCUAUGGUGUGAGGCUGUCGUCGCCGCAUGGCCUGGCUAGCGGUGGGAGUAGUAGGGGGCGGUGAAGCCUCAACGGUAGCACAACCGGCCAUUGGAGGCAGGAGCAGGCGGUCUCGCCGGUGCUGGUUUGGGCAGCUGGUGCAAGAAGAGCAGCACUUGAAGAAGCAGCAGGACCGUUCGAUUCAAAUCCAACGGUUACUGCUGCUACAAUCGUUUGUUGACUAAGUUGACAAGCCCUACAUACGCGUCAACUUAGUAGGCCCACAGGUCAGCCUCCCAACCGAUGCGCCCCAGAUGUCAGUGGGAGGAAUCAUUUUUUUCGCGUAAUAAGGAGGCAGUUGAUUGCGUGCGGCCAGGCCAGCGGAGGGAGUAGCGUGGGCCGGGGAAGCCUGCGCGGUUUCACAGCGAGCCACAAGAGGAGGGAGCAAGCAGUCAUGCUGGCGCUAGUUUAGGCAGCUUGUCACAUCCUAGCUGGUUCAUGCAUCAGAGUGUUGCAUCAUGUUUACUUUUCCAGAAAACUUGAAAUGGGGAUGACAGAACCCCUAGCACCCCCCUUGAAAACAACUAGAGUUUACUAAAAUUAUUUUCAAUGAACCUGAAAUGCCCUUCUAAAAAGUCUACCCUUUUUGUUUCGGGUUAGAACCACUCACAAAAAGGGAGCCCCGAGCCUCCCCGUGCUCCUCCACCUCGCCUCGUCCCCGCCAUUCGUCGUUGCCAGAACCAGCUCGCCGGAGCAGAGCUCCUCCGCCGCCGCCCCUUCCCGUUCCCGAACGGAUCCGGCUGCCCUCGCCCCCGAGCUUCCCGAGCCCGCAGCCGAGCGUCUCCCACUCCUUCCGCGCUCCAAAUCAAGGAGAGCUCGAUCCCGAGCCCCCUGCCCCAACCUUUGCCCCCUCGUCGUCCUUCGUCGUCGGCGCGCUAGCCGCUCCUACCCGCAGGUCCUCCUCAGCGCGUUUCCUCUCUGUUUCUCAUUACCUCUUGCUGCUGCCGCUAACCACGUCGUCGUGUUUCUCCUGCCAAGGGCCGCGCCACCAGCCCAAGAACGAUGCCGGCCUCCUUUGCUCUGCCCCGUCCUGCAUCGAGCGUGUGCUCGUGGCCACGAGGGAAGCAGCGCUCCUCUGCUCCAGGCCUCCGCGUUGACCGAAUGCCCGAGUGCCUCGUCCCCGGCCAGACCCGCCCUCCGCUGGUGCCUCACCGCUGUCCAGCCAUGCCGUCGUGCCCCUGCUUCCUCUGUAUCGCAGACGAGCGCCCCGCCCCGCGUUGAUUGCCCGCUCGCCUGCGCCGUGACGCUUCGCCCUCGCGAGCCAUCCUCUGCUUCGCCUGCGUCGUUGCCUCCAGAUCCGGCCCAGCCAGCCUCCCCCACCAACGGGCCGAAGCCCAUGGGUGAGCUGCCCCAGCGCCUGCUUGUUUGGCCUGUUAGCUAGAUUCGGUCCGCUUUGUAUUUUUUUCCCUCCUGCGAAUUUAGACAUUUUCCAGUGAAUUACCUGUUUUGCAGAAACCACCUUGCACUCCAUGCAUAUAAUAACUCAUGAUCUGUGCAUCAUAUGUAAAAACUUUAUAUAUGUAACGUGCUUAGAAUUUCAUCUAAUUUGAUAAUAUGCUGCUUUCAUCCAUGUUUAAACUGUUUAAAAUGCUGUUUUAUUAAAUUUGCUCAAAUGCCAUGUUAAAAUGAUUUAUUUCAUAACUAAUUAACCGUAGCUCGGUUUUAAAUAAACUUUAUAUAUAAAUGGGGAGGAAAAUGCCUAGAUUAACAUGUUGCACUUUGUUUUACUGUUUAACAACUCUAAAAUAUGGUUUAGGGAAGAACAGUACCAAAUUCAUAAUUUGCGUAUGGGAAUUUUCCGGAAUUGUUGUUUGUUGUUUCCGGCCUCAUUUAAACUUGCCUAAAUAGUUAGAUUACUUAUGCCUCACCUCUUGCCAUGCUUAACAACAUUUAAUAUUUAUGAGUAGCAUAAAUGAGAGUGAACUAAAUACUUGAAUGUGGUGUUUUGUCAAUAUGCAACUCGUUGCAUACUGAGCUCCACUUAACUUGUAGUAUUGUUUGUUGCACGUUCCCAUGUCAUGCCUCAUUAAACCGGACAUGCAUCAUACCUGUUUGUGCAUUAUGCCAUGUUUAUGUGAUGGUUGUUUACCAUGUUGUUUGUUUCUUUCCGGUGUUGCUUCUUAGUUCCGGUAAUGUUGCGAUUGUGAGGAUUCGUUCGACUACUCCUGUUCGUCUUCUUCAUGGACUCGUUCUUCUUCCUAGCGGGAUUUCAGGUAAGAUGACCGCUACCCUGGAUCUCACUACUAUCAUUGCUAUGCUAGUUGCUUCGUUCUAUCGCUUUGCUGCGCUACCUAUCACAUGUUUAUCGUACAUCCCAUAUUGCCAUGAACCUCUAACCUUUGACACCUUUCCUAUGCAAACCGUUGUUUGGCUAUGUUACCGCUUUUGCUCAGCCCCUCUUAUAGCGUUGCUAGUUGCAGGUGAAGUUGAAGAUUGCUCCAUGGUGGACAGGAUUUUGGUUGGGAUAUCACAAUAUCUCUUAUAUUAUUAAUGCAUCUAUAUAUUUGGUAAAGGGUGGAAGGCUCAGCCUUAUGCUUGGUGUUUUGUUCCACUCUUGCCGCCCUAGUUUCCGUCAUGCCGGUGUUAUGUUCCCAGAUUUCGCGUUCCUUACGCGGUUGGGUGUUUUAUGGGACCCCCUUGACAGUUCGCUUUGAAUAAAACUCCUCCAGCAAAGCCCAACCUUGGUUUUACCUUUCCCUUGGGUCAGCCAACUCGAGGGUCAUCUUUAUUUUAGCCCCCCCAGGCCAAUGCUUGUCUAAGUGUUGGUCCAAACCGAGCGAUGUCCGGCGCCCCCUGGGCAACCAGGGUCUAGGCCAACCCGAUGUCUGGCUCAUCCAGUGUGCCCUGAGAAUGAGAUAUGUGCAGCUCCUAUCGGGAUUUGUCGGCACAGCGGGAGGCUUUGCUGGUCUUGUUUUACCAUUGUCGAAAUGUCUUGUAAACCGGGAUUCCGAGUUUGAUUGGGUCUUCCUGGGAGAAGGUAUAUCCUUCAUUGAUCGCGAGAGCUUAUCAUGGGCUAAGUUGGGACACCCCUGCAGGGUAUAAUCUUUCGAAAGCCAUACCUGCAGUUAUAGGCAGAUGGGAAUUUGUUAAUGUCUGGUUGUAGAUAACUUGACACCAGAUCUGAAUUAAAAUGCAUCAACCGCUUGUGUAGUCGUGAUGGUCUCUUUUCGGCGGAGUCCGGGAAGUGAACACGGUUUUGGGUUAUGUUUGACGUAAGUAGGAGUUCAGGAUCACUUCUUGAUCAUUGUUAGCUUCACGACCGUUCCGCUUGCUCUCUUCUCGCUCUUAUUUGCGUAUGUUAGCCACCAUAUAUGCUUAGUCGCUGCUGCAACCUCACCACUUUACCCCUUCCUUACCCUUUAAGCUUUGCUAGUCUUAAUACCCAUGGUAAUGGGAUUGCUGAGUCCUUGUGGCUCACAGAUUACUACAACAACAGUUGCAGGUACAGGUUGUGCGAUGAUCAUGACGCGAGAGCGAUGUUUGCUUAUUUUGGAGUUCUUCUUCUGCUUCUUCGAUCAGGGAUAGGUUCCAGGUUGGCAGCCUGGGAUAGCAGGGUGGAUGUCGUUUGAGUUUCUGUUUGUGUUUCAUCCGUAGUCGGAUGUUGAUCUUACGUAUGAUGAUGUUGUAUCCGUGUGGCAUUGUAUGCCUUAUGUAUGUAUCCCCAUCUAUUAUGUAAUGUUGAUGUAAUGAUAUCCACCUUGCAAAAGCGUUUCAAUAUGCGGGUCUAUCCUUGGUGGGACCUUCGAGUUCCUUUUGGAUAGGGUCGCAUAUUGGGCGUGACAAGUUGGUAUCAGAGCCUCGACCGACCAUAGGAGCCCCCUUGUUUGUUGGCCGUUGCUGAGUCUAGAAGAAAACUAUUUUUGAGUCUUAGGAUUAUAUAUAUCGGAGAGUAGGAUUCUUUUUACUCCUCAGCCCCUUCGUCGCUCUGGUGAGGACUCCUGACGUAGAUGUUUUGUCUUUCCUCUCCUCAAAUUUCACUAAAUUCUUUUUUUAGGAUCAAGCGGGUAUCUUGGAAUCAUUUCGAUGGUUUUGUGACGAGAACAUUGUUCUUGGUGCCUCCUGUCUAUUAUGUGGCAUUGACCCGGGGAGUUGAGCUCCGAGGUGUUGUCGUCACAAUUUUAUCGUUGCAGUUCUGGAAUACCUGAGUUUUGCCGACAUCGAAAAUCUCUUUUAUGCAGUUGUUGGUGAGAUAACCUCGACGCCACCCAGUACUGGGGCGGGAGUUCAGGAGUACUACCAUAACUCGUAUGACGGAUGCUUUUCGAAGGUUGAGGUACAUGAUUUCCAGAGUUUUCUUGGUUAUGUGUUGACGGAUGGAUACAGCUGGAUGUAGGUAUUGUUAGUUUGGGUGAGAUAUAUUGCUUCCCCUGUAUCCCCAACACCAGAUUGCAUAACCAGAAAGUUUCAGGAGUUUAUAGGUGGGAAUUCAAGUAGCUCCUAGAAUAUGUUUCUGGCAGAUGCAUGAUCUGGAAUUGGGUAAAUCUCUAUCAUAUGUAUUUGUUCUGGCUUAUUCUGCAAGACAAAUCCUUGUUUUGUUUUGUUGUUGUAUUCGAGUUGCUUCAAUGUCAAGUGUUGAUUCCAUAUCUUUCCUAAGCACUGUUCUCAUAUUUCUAUGAGAGUGGUAAUCCUUCUUGAUCAUCGAGAUUGUCAUCCCAAUUCUUUCCACCCGGCGUGCUUCUCUUCAGGUGGAUCCGAUCAUUUCAACAUUCACAAGAUCAUCCCUUAGUUUUUCUCAACGGUGUUUGUUUCAAUCGUCCCAAGUUGCCUUUGUUUUUCCCACCCUCCCAUCCUUUUUCUUCAAGGACUCGUAUAUUUUAAUCAAGUAUUCAUUUAUUCAUGUGAAGUCUCUUCACUCUUUUCAAUCAAUGUUCUUAUCUGGUGAUUCUCACGAAGAUACUAACGAAGCUUCAAGUUCAUCAUUCUUCAUUCUCGUAUUCUUCUCCGGUGGAUUUAAUUCAAGAUUUCAGUGUGGGUCAUAUCUUUUCCUCGUUUCAAAUGUUUUUCCAUGUCGGUGCACCUCUUAAUUGUUCACCUCUUUCUAUUCUUAUCUGGAGUGCUCAAUAUAUCUCAGAAGAAUCAUGUUUCCAUUCUUAGUCUGUUCGAGAUACUUCAACGUUUUUUCUCUCAUUCAAGCUUUAAUUCUACCGGUGUAACCUCUAUUUCAAGCAACCCUUCAAUGAUGUUUCUUUUGAGUGGGCCCUAACCCACAGGUCUUUUCCCAGGAUCUUACCUGACUAUUCUAACUAUUCCGGAGCUAUUCCCAAAUUCUUUUCGAAGUAGGACGUAAGUAUGAAUUUCAUCAGUCAGAUGCUUUUCCAAGAUCGAUUUCAAAUCAUUUUCAUCUUUGGUUCAACCCUUCCUCUUUUUCAUUCUCCCGGAGUAUCUCAGUAAUUUUGGUGGUGUUUCCCGUCGUCAUUUGAAGACCGAAGAAGAGUUUUUCCACUAAAUCUUGUCUGUUCUCUCGAAGUUUCGUGGUUCUAGCUUCAGGUUAUCCUCGCGAAUUAUUCCAUUUGUCAGACAUUCUUUUCUUAACGAUCCGGAGCAUGUCAGAAGUUGUUUUCCCGUUUAUUUUCACCGGAGGCCAUCUUUCCAGAAGAAUUCUUGGCCCUCACAUUUCAGCUACUGUUAUCAAAUUAUCCCGGUGCUUCGUUCAAGUGUUCUUUAAUCUACUCUUGAUCUCUAUGUUCUUUUGCAUCUAAAUCCCCUCUAACAUAUCGGUUCUGCUAAUUCUUCCCGGUGAUUCAUUCUCUUUCGUCAGUCAUUUCCGAAUUCUAUCGGUGGUUCUUUCAGAUUCUUUUUCUUUUUUUAUCAUAUCAAUUCAUUCGUUCUUUCCAAAUCCUAACGGUGGUUCAUUCAAGACCUUCCUAAAGGUGGCGCUAUGUCACUUCUCAAUCCUUUUCAACAAGAAUAAGUUGCAUGCCAAAUCCGCUUGUUACCCAUUAAAUUGGAUAAAGGAUAAGCAUACAAUAAAUCUUAUUCUUAUUUCCUCGAGAUGAUUCAAUUCUUUUAUUUCCGGAGUUCCAAGUUCUCUUGGUUAUAUCGUCACAAAGCUCCAUCUAAAUCAUUGCAAGGCUUCACCUUGUUCUUUCAACUUCUCUUCCUUUCUAUCAUCCUUUUAUUACCGGAGUUCUUCAUGGAGGCUCUACAUGAUGGUUCAUCAAUGAUUCCUUUCAUUCUCAUUUUGUUCUUCAAGAUUUCUCUCGAAGUUAUGACCCGCCAAGCUAUACUCAAAAGUAAACAUGGUGCUUAACACAUGUUUUGUUUUGGGGCGUUCAAGCAUUCUUUCUCUUGCAUUUCGAAGUGCAAUCCUUUCUACCUUAUCUUUUGAGAUGGUGUUAUGUCAUCCUUGGCAAUUUCUCCUCAUACUUCAUGAUUCACAAGUUGUCAGGAAUGAGUUAAUUAAAACCAUCAUUUUUCUCUUCGAUCAUGAGAUCUUUUCAACCCAGCAAUUUCUUUGUUGGAGUAUUUUGGGUUAUAUUUCACCUAAAGCCUUCCUUUGGGAAUGCUGCUAUUUGUGGUGCUUAUCAAUGAUCCAAGUUACCUCUCUAAACUCUUGGUGAAGAAGUUUUCAUCUUCUUGUUGAGCUCAAUCCAAUCAACUAUUUCCGUUAGUGGUGGGUUGUCACCCCAUAAUUUUGAGAUGUGUUCCAUAAGCCCACAACAAGCUUGUUCUUUUCGUUGUUGGUUGUCCAACAACUCCGUUAUAACCUUCUUGGAAGGGUGCUUUCCAAAUUCAAUUGUGGUAGAAGUUGGCUUUUUAUUCUCCAUUCUUUUAUUUCAAUGAUCUAUCUUCUAUUCUUUCUUCCGGAGGCAUGGUGAUGUUGCUCUCUUCACUCAUCAUCUUGAAUUGUGAGGACCGUGUUCUUUUCAUGAUUAUCAAUUUAACCGGAGUGUUGUGUCUAUCAUUCCUCUUUUAACCAGAGUCUCAUCCAAGUGUUUUCAUUUUGCCAAGUUCAAACUCUAUUCCUUCCAUGUCCAACCGGAGUGUUGUAUCAUCUCUUCAAUAUCUCUUCAUCUCAUCAAGUUUUUCUUCUCUUUUCUACCGGAGUGCUGUCCAAAUUCUGUCAUUCUUGUUCCUUGGCUAUCUCAUUAUACUGAGGUGGUCAUAUUCUUUUCGUUCAUGAAGCUCUUAUUUCCAUGUCUUUCAACCUCUUGGUUCUCGUCGUAUCCGUCUUCCUCAUUUCUAACGGAGUGUUUUCAACUUUGUUCAUCUUUGUUGUUUUCUUUCUUUCAUUUUGCUCAACCUCUCAAGGUUCAUGGUUUCACUCAUUUGUCGAAGAAGCAACUUAGUUUACCUCUUAUCUUCCUCUUCCUUUUCCCUCCGGUGCCAUCCUAGAUCUCGGGAAGAGAUCCUCUCGUAGUGGUGGAGUGUUGUAACGCCCCAGAUACAACUUUCCAUAUUCGUAACUCCAACUCUUGCCUUUUCCGGAGAUGCGAUAUGUUAUUUCCUCCGUGGUUGGGUUUUUGUCUUUUGUUUUGCAUUUUGUUCCUGUCAUGCAUCUCAUCUCAUAGCAUCAUGCAUUUUGCAUCCACAUGUUUUCAUAAAGCUUGCAUCCAUUGAUAGUUCCCACUUCUCCUCGUUGCCUACGUUGUCCCUUCGAGACCAACCGUUCUUUUGUUGUUCGACCAUUUGAACCUCUUGGCACCGUGCAUCAACCCCUCACCCGUGUCCGAAACUUGCCCGAACCCGAACCGGUCUGUCGUUACCGAUGGAUCCAGAUCAUCCCCUAACAUCUAUAAAACAUCUCCGUUUUCAUUUUUGGACUCCCUGCCUAUUUUAUUCUGGACCGUUCGAUUGCGAUCGAAGGGAUGGAUUAGCCCCUAAACUAACCUAAUCCAACUACUAUAUAAACCAAUCUAACCCUAGACCUGUCCCAUCCUUCCAUCAAAUCCUCCCUGCCGCCGCCACUCCCUUCCUUGGGAUCCCCCCUCAAUCCAGAUCCAAAAACCAACGCCUCCCCUGGUCUCCUCCUUGUUUUCCAGAUAAGGCUAACCACAAGCUACCAAGCCAUCGAUCGACUGCCUCCAUCGUUUUCCCCAAUGGCCCAACCAGCGCCUGGAUCCCCGCCUCCUCGCGCCCGUUCGUCCAGGAAGCAGCAGCGCCGCUCGACAUCGUCACCAGGCCACGGUUGCGCAUCUCCUCCCGUUGCUCGGAGCCCCGAGCCUCCCCGUGCUCCUCCACCUCGCCUCGUCCCCGCCAUUCGUCGUUGCCAGAACCAGCUCGCCUGAGCAGAGCUCCUCCUCCGCCACCCCUUCCCGUUCCCGAACGGAUCCGGAUGCCCUCGCCCCCGAGCUUCCUGAGCCCGCAGCCGACCGUCUCCCCCUCCCUCCGCGCUCCAAAUCGAGGAGAGCUCAAUCCCGAGCCCCCUGCCUCAACCUUCGCCCCCUCGUCGUCCUCCGUCGUUGGUGUGCCAGCCGCUCCGACCCGCAGGUCCUCCUCAGCGUGUUUCCUCUCUGUUUCUCGUUACCUCCUCCUGCUGCCGCUAACCGCGUCGUCGUGUUUCUCCUACAAGGGCCGCGCCACCAGCCCAAGAACGACGCCGACCUCGUCGGCCCCGCCCCGUCCUGCAUCGAGGGUGUGCUCGUGGCCACGAGGGAAGCAGCGCUCCUCUGCUCCAGGCCUCCGCGUUGACCGAACGCCCGAGUGCCUCGUCGCUGGCCAGACCCGCCCUCCGCUGCUGCCUCGCCACUGUCCAGCCAUGCCGCCGCGCCCCUACUUCCUCUGUAUCACAGACGAGCGCCCCGCCCCGCGUUGACCGCCCGCUCGCCUGCACCGUGACGCUUCGCCCGCACGAGCCAUCCUCUGCUUCGCCUGCGUCGUUGCCUCCAGAUCCGGCCCAGCCAGCCUUCCCCACCAACGGGCCGAAGCUUGCCCCGGCGCCUGCUUGUUUGGCCUGUUAGCCAGAUUCGACCCGCUUUGUAUUUUUCCCCAGCUGCGAAUUUAGACAUUUUCCAGUGAAUUACCUGUUUUGCAGAAACCCCCUUGCACUCCAUGCAUAUAAUAACUCAUGAUCUGUGCAUCAUAUGUAAAAACUUUAUAUAUGUAAAGUGCUUAAAAUUUCCUCUAGUUUCAUAAUAUGCUGCUUUCAUCCAUGUUUAAACUGUUUAAAAUGUUGUUUGAUUAAAUUUGCUCAAAUGCCAUGUUAAAAUGAUUUAUUUCAUAACUAAUUAACCAUAGCUCGGUUUUAAAUAAACUUUAUAUGUAAAUGGGGUGGAAAAUGCCUAGAUUAACAUGGUGCACUUUGUUUUACUGUUUAACAACUCUAAAAUAUGGUUUAGGGAAGAACAGUACCAAAUUCAUAAUUUGCAUAUGGGGAUUUUCCAGAAUUGUUGUUUGUUGUUUCCGGUCUCAUUUAAACUUGCCUAAAUAGUUAGAUUACUUAUGCCUCACCUCUUGCCAUGCUUAACAACAUUUAAUAUUGAUGAGUAGCAUAAACGAGAGUGAACUAAAUACUUGAAUGUGGUGUUUUGUCAAUAUGCAACUCGUUGCAUACUGAGCUCCACUUAACUUGUAGUAUUGUUUGUUGCACGUUGCCAUGCCAUGCCUCAUUAAACCGGACAUGCAUCAUACUUGUUUGUGCAUUAUGCCAUGUUUAUGUGAUGGUUGUUUACCAUGUUGUUUGUUUCUUUCUGCUGUUGCUUCUUAGUUCCGGUAAUGUUGCGAUUGUGAGGAUUCGUUCGACUACUCCUAUUCGUCUUCUUCAUGGACUUGUUCUUCUUCCUAGCGGGAUUUCAGGCAAGAUGGCCGCUACCCUGGAUCUCACUACUAUCAUUGCUAUGAUAGUUGCUUCGUUCUAUCGCUUUGCUGCGCUACCUAUCACCUGUUUAUCGAACCUCCCAUAUUGCCAUGAACCUCUAACCUUUGACACCUUUCCUAUGCAAACCGUUGUUUGGCUAUGUUACCGCUUUUGCUCAACCCCUCUUAUAGCGUUGCUAGUUGCAGGUGAAGUUGAAGAUUGCUCCAUGGUGGACAGGAUUUUGGUUGGGAUAUCACAAUAUCUCUUAUAUUAUUAAUGCAUCUAUAUAUUUGGUAAAGGGUGGAAGGCUCGGCCUUAUGCCUGGUGUUUUGUUCCACUCUUGCCGCCCUAGUUUCCGUCAUACCGGUGUUAUGUUCCUGGAUUUUGCGUUCCUUAUGCGGUUGGGUGAUUUAUGGGACCCCCUUGACAGUUUGCUUUGAAUAAAACUCCUCCAGCAAAGCCCAACCUUGGUUUUACCAUUUACCUCACCACCACCUAUACCUUUCCCUUGGGUCGGCUAACCCGAGGGUCAUCUUUAUUUUAGCCCCCCCAGGCCAAUGCUUGUCUAAGUGUUGGUCCAAACCGAGCGAUGUCCGGCGCCCCCUAGGCAACCAGGGUCUAUGCCAACCCGGUGUCUGGCUCAUCCGGUGUGCCCUGAGAACGAGAUAUGUGCAGCUCCUAUCGGGAUUUGUCGGCACAGCGGGAGGCUUUGCUGGUCUUGUUUUACCAUUGUCGAAAUGUCUUGUAAAUCGGGAUUCUGAGUUUGAUCGGGUCUUCCUAGGAGAAGGUAUAUCCUUCGUUGAUCGCGAGAGCUUAUCAUGGGCUAAGUUGGGACAACCCUGCAGGGUAUAAUCUUUCGAAAGCCGUACCUGCGGUUAUAGGCAGAUGGGAAUUUGUUAAUGUCCGGUUGUAGAUAACUUGACACCAGAUCCGAAUUAAAACGCAUCAACCGCGUGUGUAGCCGUGAUGGUCUCUUUUCGGCGGAGUCAGGGAAGUGAACACGGUUUUGGGUUAUGUUUGACGUAAGUAGGAGUUCAGGAUCACUUCUUGAUCAUUGUUAGCUUCACGACCGUUCCGCUUGCUCUCUUCUCGCUCUUAUUUGCGUAUGUUAGCCACCAUAUAUGCUUAGUCGCUGCUGCAACCUCACCACUUUACCCCUUCCUUACCCUUUAAGCUUUGCUAGUCUUGAUACCCAUGGUACUGGGAUUGCUGAGUCCUCGUGGCUCACAGAUUACUACAACAACAGUUGCAGGUACAGGUUGUGCGAUGAUCAUGACGCGAGAGCGAUGUUUGCUUAUUUUGGAGUUCUUCUUCUGCUUCUUCGAUCAGGGAUAGGUUCCAGGUCGGCAGCCUGGGAUAGCAGUGUGGAUGUCGUUUGAGUUUCUGUUUGUGUUUCAUCCAUAGUCGGAUGUUGAUCUUAUGUAUGAUGAUGUUGUAUCCGUGUGGCAUUGUAUGCCUUAUGUAUGUAUCCCCAUCUAUUAUGUAAUGUUGAUGUAAUGAUAUCCACCUUGCAAAAGCGUUUCAAUAUGCGAGUCUAUCCUUGGAGGGACCUUCGAGUUCCUUUUGGAUAGGGUCGCAUAUUGGGUGUGACAAUAUACUUGCAUACCCUGAAAACAUCCAGGAGUACCACGAAACCCUAUUUCCACAACAGCAACCUUCUAUACCCAUGAGAUCCAAUCUUGGGGCCUUUUCCGGCGCUCCGCCGGAGGGGGAAUCGAUCACGGAGGGCUUCUACACCAACGCCAAAGCCUCUCCGAUGAAGGGUGGUUACUUUACCACAGACCUUUGUGUCCAUAGUUAUUUGCUAGAUGGCUUCUUCUCUCUCUUUGAAUCUCAAUACAAUGUUCUCCUCGAUCUUCUUGGAGAUCUAUUCGAUGUAACUCUUUUUGCAGUGUGUUUGUCGAGACCCGAUGAAUUGUGGGUUUAUGAUCAAGUUUAUCUAUGAGAAAUAUUUGAAUCUCCUUUGAAAUAUUUUAUGUAUGAUUGGUUAUCUUUGCAAGUAUCUUCGAAUUAUCAGUUUGGUUUGGCCUACUAGAUUUAUCUUUCUUGCAAUGGGAGAAGUUCUUAGCUUUGGGUUCAAUCUUGCCGUGUUCUUUCCAAGUGAUAGUAGGGGUAGCAAGGCACGUAUUGUAUUGUUGCCAUCGAGGAUAAAAAGAUGGGGUUUAUAUCAUAUUGCUUGAGUUUAUCCCUCUACAUCAUGUCAUCUUGCCUAAUGCGUUACUCUGUUCUUAUGAACUAAAUACUCUAGAUGCAUGCUGGAUAGUGGUCGAUGUGUGGAGUAAUAGUAGUGGAUGCAGAAUCGUUUCGAUCUACUUGUCGCGGACGUGAUGCCUAUAUACAUGAUCAUGCCUAGAUAUUCUCAUAAAUAUGCAUUUUUCUAUCAAUUGCUCGACAGUAAUUUGUUCACCCACCGUAAUACUUAUGCUAUCUUGAGAGAAGCCACUAGUGAAACAUAUGGCCCGGGGUCUAUUUUCCAUCAUAUAAGUUUCCGAUCUACUUUAUUUUGCAAUCUUUACUUUCCAAUCUACAUCAUAAAAAUACCAAAAAUAUUUAUCUUGUUAUUAUCUCUAUCAGAUCUCACUUUUGCAAGUGGCCGUGAAGGGAUUGACAACCCCUUUAUUGCAUUGGUUGCGAGGAUCCUAUUUGUUUGUGUAGGUACGAGGGACUUGCGUGUAGCCUCCUACUGGAUUGAUACCUUGGUUCUCAAAAACUGAGGCAAAUACUUACGCUACUUUGCUGCAUCACCUUUCUCUUCAAGGGAAAACCAACGCAGUGCUCAAGAGGUAGCACGGCUACUUGAAUAGAUGAUGUUAACCCUGCAGGGGGUGUACUUCUUCACACACGCUCCCUCCACUUAUCGUCGUUUACAUGACAUCCUUCAAGCAGAAUCCCAACGAGGGUAUCAGCCACGUCCUACCUAAACACUCAUGUCUCUAGUCCAGUUUUAUCGCCUAUCUAUGUUCCAUCCGCAGGGAGGCCAGCCGAGGUUUCCACAUACGGCCCCGAACGAUGUGUGCAGGGUUCCCGAGACACCAAACGGCAUCCGGUACACCAUGCCACGUACCUACCGCAUCAUAGCCCACCCCGAGGGUCAGCGCUGCCCAAGGCCUGCAAUAUGCUACGAACACCAGAAACUACUUGCAACUCCUAGAUAGAGGACUAGGGUUAAUUAAGGAUCCCAGUGCAUGGUAGUAGAUGAUUCUUGAAUCACACAUACAGUUCUCAAUGCUUAAGGACGGUUCUAUUGAAACUACCCACCAUGUACUCCUACAUGGCAUCUCAUGGAUACCUUUACCAAAUCAUGUUCAACACACCACUCUCAUUAUCGAUAUGAUCAUUUCACUCUAGCCGAUCACCCAGAUGAACCAGACCUGACACGACUCUAAGCAUAGCAGGCAUAGCAAGGUAGGAAACACAACAUGGCUCAAGCAACUCCUACACAUGCUAGUGGGUUUCAUCUAGUUACUGUGGCAAUGACAGGUCAUGCAGAGGAAAUGGGUUCAACUACCAUACCACUCAGCAGUUUGAAACGCGGUUGUCUUAAAUGCAGUAAAUGAGAGCAGGAGCGAGAACAUGGGAUUUUAUCGAUAUGAUGAAAUGGGUGGUUGCUUGCCUGGCAGGUCCGUAGUCUAAUAUUAUUCUUCGUUCGGGUACUCACGGUAUUCGUCCGGGGCAGAACAUAUCGCAGAGAGCACCGAUACACAAUCAAUACCAAACAAUAUGUAACAAUAUGAUGCAUGCAUGUGACAUGGCAAAAUGAGUGUGUUGGCCUAAUGCCACUAUAACUAGAUGAGUUUGAGCCAUUUUGAGCCAAAGAUUCAAAAUCCAAACUCAUUAGUGAUAUUAAAUAGUGCUUUAUCAUGUUUUGCACUAAACAGCAAGUUAACUUGUUUAAACAUGCAUGAAACCAAUACAGAUGGAUAGGUUGGAUUUUUCUGAUUAUUUUUCAUAUAUAACACUUUGCAUUUGGAGUUAUAGAUUAAUUUCUAUGGAUUUUUAAAUUUAGCACUAUUUUCUGAAAUUUCCUGAAUAAGAAUAAAUCCCAAAAAUGAAUUACUGCGUCAGCACUGCGUCAGCAGGUCAACAGGGCCGGUCCAGGUCAAACCUGACCAGUGGGGCCCACUGGUCAGUGUCACUGUUAGUUAACUAACUUAAUUAGGAUUAGUUUAACACUAAACUAGGUUUGACCAACGGGCAGGGCCCACAUGUCAGUGACCCAGGGGGUCAAAUCCCUGAUCAAACUGGGCUGACUCGCUGGCGAUAUUCGUAUGCAGCGGAGGCUGCGGGUUUUUCCCUUUGGCGACCAAAUGGACGGCGGAGGCCAUCUACGAGCAGCUGGGAGUGAGCCGCCUGGAGGGGUGGUGGUCGUUGAGUUCAAGGUCGCUGAAAAUGACGCCAGCGACGAGCUUUACUGCUACCGGAGUUCAGGUAAGGAUGAACUCAUCGUUGUGGUGGUUCUGGAGGCACGAGGCCAGCUCCUAUGUGGCCUACGCGGUGUUGUGAGGUCAGUGAACAUAGUGACGUGGCCUUUGGGUGGACGGAGCUACGUCGGCGACGAGCUCAGGCGGCGGCAUGUGCAUUGGUGCUUGUUGUAGUCACUGCAGAAGACAACAUCGAGAACGGAGAGGAUGGGGAGUGGCACGAGCUCAUGCUGGUCUCAACGAGCUAGCCGGCGAGGUCGGGGACGAGCUCGAGCGAGCGUGACGGCGAAAGUAAUCUCCGGCGACGGCGAGGUCGGGCGAGGUCAUUGCAGUGGCUCUGGGGAGAACGAGCGCUCGGGGCCUGCUCGAUGGAGAGGAGGACGGUGGAGCUCUUGGACAUGGCGAGAUGGCGCUGAGAUGGUGGUGGCCGCGGCUAUGACGGCGGUGCGGCUGCGGCUGCGUCGGCCAUGGUGGGAGAGAGCGAGGGAGAGGCGCUGGGGAAGAAGUAAGGUGUCCAGGGGGUCAGGGCGACGACAUGGAGGACGUCCAGGGGGUCAACAGCUCGGGCAGCAAGCAGCUAGCACCGUGGCGAGCCCGCGCGCGCCGGCGUCACCUCCCUGCCUGCCUUGUGGGGAAGAAGCAGCUGGCUGGCGUGGGCCAGCACAGUUUUGGUCCGCCAGGUGGGCCGGCUAGUGGGUUUGCCAGGUAAGUGGGUUUUCCUUUUAUUUUUGUUUUUCUUUUCUUUAUGUAGAUUUGUAUCUUUCCUAAAAAUGCCUAAACACUUUCAAAAAUCACCAAACUACUCAUGCCCAUUGUAUAGAAUAUGUCCAACAGUAAACAUUUUGCUUUAGGAUUAUUUGGUCAUUUAAAAUAUUUUAUAGCAUUUAAAUGCCCAAAUGCAAUUAUCAUAUGAUUUAAUCCUGUGACCUUAGGAUAACCUAGAAAAUUGUGCAUCAUUUGUGUCAGAGGUUUAAGACCAAGGCAAAGAUGAUGAGCAUUUUAGAAGGGUAAUUGAGGUUCAUUGAAAAAGAUUUUAGUAAACCAUAGUUGGAUUAAGGGGGUGCUAAGGGUUCUGUCAUCGCCAUUUCCAGGUUUGUGAUCAAAGUAAACAUGAUGUAGUCACUCUAAUGCGUGAGCUAGCUAGGGUGUGAAAAUAUUGCUCAAAUAGAAAAAAAUUGUUCGGGGAGUAUGUUAUAUUACUGUUUAACAUAAGAAACAUCUUCCAGGGAAAAUAGUUUCGUUAGGGGUUCCUUUCCCUGGGUUGACAUGCCGAAUUAUGCAUCUCUAGGCUUGUAUCCGAAUUACGGGCAGCCUAUCCCGUAUUUUUUUGUAAUUGCCGACCAAUUAUUCUCUUAAGAAUGCUAGCUUUCGGCUUCACCCAUCCGAGGUACAGAUUCGGAUAACCCAGUUAUAACAAUCACAGAAGUACUCCCUUUACACCCUAGCCGAACAAUUGGGAACGUAGGGUAUAAGCAUAGGAGCGAGGCAACCCAGCUUGGCAAAAACUAUGGUCAUAAAGGUGCAUAUUGUCGGUGUUCUGGAUACGGGGGUACCCGUACAUGCCUGCCUACAGCCCGCGGCGUGGCUCCACCAGCGCCCUGGUACGGCCCAGUUUCAACAUCGACAAAUCAAGACCCUCACGACGCGGACAACAUAAACACCUCCGAACGGAUCGGCCUCCUCAGGCUGGCUCCUGAGGAGCGGAGAUUUCUAUGAAAGGCUCACCUUGUGAAGUUGGGAUGACGUGAGCCAGGAAGACCAAGGCCAGGCGGGCGCCAGCAGGCGUAGAGUACCAGUUUCCCAAGGAAACAACCAAAGGAUUCUAUUCCCGUGCAACAAGACCAAGACAGCCAAGACGACAAGACGAAAGUCAUCGCCGAGCCCAUCGCAACGUCAUGACCAUAGGCUUUUGCAGGCGAAGACCACUUUAGUUAGGAUAGGAUGUACUUGUUGUCUCCCUUCAAAUUUGGCAGUUGUGGGAUCCCUUCCCGCCUCUAUUCGGGAACAAGACCAAGGCCACUAUAAAUAGGACCUAGCCACCACCGACGAGGGGGAUCAGAUCCAUUCCACCCUCACCAGCUCACCAGCUCACUUGAGCCCUAGAACACGCCUCCUGAGGUUGUUCCCCACUGUACUAGUUCUUCCUCGGCCCCUCGAGGCAAAUCCACCAUAAAGCAGGAGUAGGGUUUCACACUGCAAGGUGGCGCGAACCUGGGUAAACUAUUGUGCCUGUUUCCUUUGAGCUCGACGCGUUAGGCUGUGAGAUUAGCGAGUCGGCAGACUAGGGAGAGUGGGAUCUUCGCAUGCACCGCAGAGUUCGAACCCCUCAAGGGUUUACGGAACCCGUAAUCCGACAUUUGGCAUGCCAAGUAGGGGUGCGUCGGAGCUUCCUUUCCGUCGAUCGACUCGCCGCCGCUGUAACAUCCCAAAUUUUCAAUAUGGAAUGUUAUACACUAGAUCAUUAUUGCAUAUCAUAUUUUAUUGCAUUUUGGCAUAAUCCUAGAAAUUCUACGCAACUUAAGGACCUACGGAGAGAGUUGUGGAUUUUGUUAUUUUCAUAUUUGAGUUUUCUCAAAUUUUGAAAAGAGGAUCAAUUGGUUUCUAGUAUUUUUCUUUCCUCAUGUUUCCAAAAUAAAAAUACAUGAGUGGAGAUAAAAUGACUUCUCCAAUAUAACAUAAAUAUUAGAGGGAAAAUAUUAAAAAUCAAUUUGUUAAUUUAUUUGGAUUUUAUUGCAAUUUUGUUCAAAUUAGAAAAAUUGCACAUUUCCAAAAUUGCAUUUUUAGGCCAAGAAAAUGUUCAUCUUGUUAUAAAUAUUCUAUUUAGAUGGUGAAAAUUUGUUUUGGCAUUUUUAGAUUUUUAUUUAUUUUUCUAGGAUUUAUUUUUGGCAGAACGAUAUUUAAUAAAAAAAACAUUUUACGCGCGCCCGAAUGGGACAGCGGCCCAGCCGAGCCGGGCCGGCCUCGCCCCUCCUCCGCCUGACCGACUCCGACCGGAGUCCGGCCGAAGCACGCCGCCGCCACCGAGUCCGGGGAGGACUCCUCCUCCUCGCCCCCUUCCCCAAGCCGCCGCCCCCUCCUUAUAUACCCUGCCCCGCCACCACCACCAGCCACCACCACCACCACCCGCCACNNNNNNNNNNNNNNNNNNNNNNNNNNNNNNNNNNNNNNNNNNNNNNNNNNNNNNNNNNNNNNNNNNNNNNNNNNNNNNNNNNNNNNNNNNNNNNNNNNNNNNNNNNNNNNNNNNNNNNNNNNNNNNNNNNNNNNNNNNNNNNNNNNNNNNNNNNNNNNNNNNNNNNNNNNNNNNNNNNNNNNNNNNNNNNNNNNNNNNNNNNNNNNNNNNNNNNNNNNNNNNNNNNNNNNNNNNNNNNNNNNNNNNNNNNNNNNNNNNNNNNNCGUCGGAGCCCGCAGCCCCGCUCGCCGGACCACCGCCGGAGGUAGCCGCUGCCGCCGUCUCGCCGUUCGACGGCUUUCUCAGAAAAACCGUUCGGUUUUUUUCGAAAACCUAGAUCUGUUUUUCAGAUCUGGUUCGGUUUUUUUGGUUUAAUUAUAUAGCGAGCAUCCGCUUGUUCGUUCGUUUUAACGAAUGCUAUUCACCGUUUAGCCGCAGACAGCGAUAGUUCGUUCGUUAGCCUGUUCAUCAGUUUUUCUUUUUCCAGGGUUUUUCUGCGAUUAUUUCCGAUCGUGAUUUUUGCCCUGAUUUUCGUUUUAGUUUAUCUUUUCACUCGUUUAUCGGAAUCAGGCGAUUCAAGCACCUAGAAUUUCGUCUCGAAACUGUCUUUCUGUUUAACCAACUUAAACAAGUUUUUUUCUACUGUAAAAUUUGACUUAACUCUAGAUUAGUAAAUGAAGCUUGGUUUUUUCGCAGUUUGAGUUUCCUUGGUUUGUUUGACCUGAUUCUUUUUGCAAACUGGAGUUCUUAAGUUGAACUUUCUGGUUACAUCUCUUAUUUGAGUUUUAUCCAUGUUUAUAGUUGAGUGCUUAUUUUAUGCUUGUUUGUUUGCGAUAGAGUACCCGGAGUGCGAAGCAUCCUACUACGAGUCUCUAGGUUUCAUGAAUCAUCAGUAAGGCAAGUAACACUUUGAUCAUACCACUUUACUACCCAGUUUUAUUGCAUUAGAUCAAACCUCAAACAAUUGCAUGAUUAGGAUCUGUUUAAUAUGAGGGUUAUGGGAAGUAGAUGAGGUAGUACCUAUUGUCCUGUUUGUUAUCAAACCUUUGUGAGUUACUUCUACGUUGCUUAUAUUGUUAUGUUAUGCUUGUAGACGUGGUUUGGGUGAGUGUAUCAAUGACAGAUGUGAGUAUUGUUAUUUAAUGGUUAACUUAAGGUGGCUACUUUAAUACACAUCUGGGUGGAUUGAGGCACCUAGGGAAUCCAGUGCUGCCUGUAUUUUUUAAAUCCUGGGGUACCGUGUGAUUCUCCUAUGGACCGCCACCCAGGCUCAAAGGGAUUAAGAUUAUUCAUGCUAGAAACUUCUGUGUGCAUCCACAAGCUAUUAUGGGCUCUAGCAUAGUUGAGUACGUUGCAAGACCUCUUUCAGUGGUGGGCUAGAAGAUGUAGGGGAAGUAGGUGUAACUGUCAACCCGGGGUAAAGAGUUAUUGUUUUAGAAAGACUGUGUCUCGUUUCUCCGAUCAUGGAUGUAUUCAAGUCUUGUGGGGAAAAGUGCGCAAACCUCUGCAGAGUGUACAAACUAAUCAUGGUUACCCGUGUCCCCGGUUAUGGACGUUUUGAGUAUCUAGUUCUUGGAUUAUCAUAUGGAUCUCAUCACUCUUAAUUUAAUUUGAUUGGGUUUAAUGAUGAUGCUUAAUUGGGAUUGAGAGGGGGAUUACCUUCUCAAUGUUUAACAACCACCAUGAUAGUUAGAUAAAAUUUAUUCCUUUGUGGUAGGCAAAAUUUUGCUUUAUUCAAAACUGUAACCAUAGAGCUUUCCACCAACAAUAUAUGCAUGUAGUGAUAGCAUUAUUAUGUCCAUUACUCUCUUGUGUUACAUUGCCAGCAUAUUCCAUGUGCUGACCCGUUUUCGGGCUACAACGUUCAUGUUGCAGACUUUUCAGACGACGAGUAAGGUGCCUUAGGUCAUGAUCUUUCACUCAGUGAGGCCAUUGGAGUUGAUCGACUCGCUUUAUCUUCCAAGCCUUCAGCUAUUAUCGUUAUUAGAUGGCCUUAAGCCAUAUUUAUUGUAAUAAGUUCUCUUUUAAGACAUUCGAUGUAAUAAGUGUGUGAUUGCUACUCUAUUAUAAAUCCUUCAAGUACUAUGUGUGUCAGCACUACCGAUCCAGGGAUGACACUGAUGCACAGAGAUUAGACUGUUUGAGGUCUGGUCGCUACAAGAUGGUAUCAGAGCACACGCUGACUGUAGGACACGACCACUAAGCCAAAGCCCUAGAUCACUACUCUCUUCUCAUUUCUAACUCCUCUCCUUUUCUACUCUUUAGGAUGGCAGAUGCAAGGAACAACUUCACGCAACUAGAUGAAGAUAUACCUUUCGGAUGCCAAUUGAAGGAAGUUACUAGAUACCUGAACAUCGGAGUACCAAGCUUCACCGGGACCUACAUCGCCACUUUACCAGAAGAGGAGCGUUGGAUGAUUCGAGUCAAGUUCCAGGAAGGACGUUCAUGCCCAUCACUGAGCCCAUAGAGUUUUCCUUUGAUGCACCAACCCGAAGUUUAGGAAAGAGCAUGGCAGCCCACAUCACCAUGGGACACAUUGGAGAAGUUUACCACAAGGAUCUCAAGGAUACUAUCUAUCAGAUUUGUGGGCGCCGAGAUGAGCAAUGGGUGAUGAUCAGCACCAGGAAGGAUAGAUCUAUUGCAGCUUUCAUCCAGCAGUUAAACCAGCACAUUCGACGCCAGGAGAACCAGAUGUGCGCAUGCAUGAUAGAUCUGAAGAAGGCUAUGAUCAGGAUCACAGAGCUAGAAGAAGAACUCAAGACUACACACGAUGGAUAUGAGGAGGAAAUCGUAACACUAUUGGAGAAGAAUGACGGCCUGAUAAAGAAGAUCGGAGUGUUCAUGGGAGACCCCGCGCCAAGAGGGGAAGACGAUGAUACAACCUGUCCGGAGAACUACAUCAUCAUCGACGACACCGACUCGGACCCUGACGAUAGUGAGGAUGACUAAGUUGAUGAAGAUGGAGCAGAUAUCAUGGAGUCUUCGACCGAUCAAUUUUUCUAGUCGACCACCAUAACAGUAGUAGUAUUUCCCCAUGUAUAUAGUAUAGUCCAAGCACUUUUGUAACGUUAGUUAGACCGUUGUAUGCCCUUGUUUGAAUUGAUCAAAGUGAUAUGAUUGUGUUUGUCUCAUGUGCACAUGGGUAGCAUUCUCCCUCUAGAUCUAUUUUGAUUCUAUAUUCUCAUCUUUUCUGAACACCUCAGAUGCCUCCGAGACGCGAAAAUGGAUUUGCUUUCCCACUUGAGCUCACUCAGUUGAUCCAGCAGCAGAAUGCAUUGAUGCAGAUACUAGUUAAGAAUCAAAAGUAGGGGAACAACAACAACAACAACAACAACCCACCACCACCACCAUCUGUUGAUCACUUAGCCCGUUUCUUAAGGCUCAAUCCGCCGGUGUUCUCUAGUAGCACCGAGGUGAUAAUUGCAGAUGAUUGGCUCCACAAGGUUGGAAGGGAGUUGACCACUGCAGGACACACGGAUGUGGACAAAGUGCGGUUUACCAUACAUCAGCUUGAUGGACCCAUAACAUCAUGGUGGGAGAAUUUCACAUCCACUUACCCCAUCGACAUUGUCACUUGGGACCAGUUUCAGCAGGCUUUUCGUACUUCCCAUGUUUCAGCAGGAGCUACGGCAGAAGCGCGAGUUUUGCAACUUGCGCCAAGGAGGACACACAGUGGGCCAGUAUGUGGAUGAGUUUAGUAAGUUAGCAUGUUAUGCCCCAGAUGACGUUGCUACAGAUGCAGCUAAGCAGAAGAAGUUUCUGGAAGGGCUGAAUGAUGAGCUGAGCAUCCAGUUGAUGGUGUCAACCUUCAACAACUACCAGGAGUUGGUAGAUAGAUCUCUCAUGAUUGAAGGGAAGCAGCAGUAGAUUGACAACUGCAAGAGGAAGUAUGGACAAGGUAAGUAUAAUUCUGGAGCUCAGCAGAAGCCUCGUUUUACCCCGAACUUGGGAGGACCAUUUCAGCAUAACCAUGGAGGUCACGAGCACAAUGGAGGAAGUUCUCACAACCAUAGUGGCCCCAGAAACAGAAAUGGUAAUGGAGGAAGCAAUGGACAGAACCGUUCCAACCCAGCAACACCAUCUAAGAAGGAUCUAAGCCACAUUAAUUGCUACAAGUGCCAGAAGACUGGACAUUAUGCCAAUGAAUGUCCUGAUGCUAAGAAUGAGAAUGGUAAUGGAAGCUCUGGGAAGAAGCUGAACCCUUUCAACAGGGGACAUGGGAACCAUGUUAACGUGGAGGAGCUUGAAGCGCAGCCAUAUUCAGUAAUAGGUAAGUUUUUGGUUAAGUCAUUUACUGCAAUCGUUAUUUUUUAUACUGGUGCAUCGCAUUCAGACAUAUCAAGGGGAUUAGUGGAUAAGUAUAAACUGCCCACCAAAGUUCUUAGAACACCUAUGUUAGUAAGCUCGCCAGGAGCAGAGUAUAUGGCAAGUCAAGGAUGUUUUUAGGUGCCAUUGACCAUAGGUAGGCAUGUUUUCCCCUCAGACCUGAUAAUUUUGGAGUCGCACGGUUUGGAUGUGAUUUUGGGUAUGGAUUGGCUAUCGAUGUAUGGAGGAAACAUCGAUUGCGGCGGUAAGUCGAUUUUGCUCACCACCCUAGAAGGAAGAAAGAUUAAGUAUGUAUCCCGGCAUAUGCUGAAGAGGACUCAAGUAAAUUCCUUAUCAGGAGUUGUACAGGAGGAAGUACCAGUGGUGAAGGAUUUCCCUGAUGUAUUUAUAGAAGAGUUGCCAGGCAUGCCACCAGAUAGAGACAUUGAGUUUUUGAUUGAGCUUUUGCCAGGCAUAGGGCCAAUAUCUAACAGACCGUAUAGGAUGCCCGCAAGGAUUUGGACGAAAUUAAGAAGCAGAUUAAGGAGUUAUUGGAUAAAGGCUAUAUUCGCCCAAGUUCGUCACCUUGGGGAUCACCAGUCCUUCUAGUGGAGAAGAAGGAUGGAUCGUUGAGGAUGGUUGUUGAUUAUUGUGGAUUGAAUGAAGUGACAAUCAAGAACAAGUACCCACUGCCGAUGAUCAAUGAUUUGUUUGACCAGUUGCAACGAGCUGAGGUAUUUUCCAAGAACGAUUUGCGAUUGGAAUAUCACCAGUUGAAGAUUCGAGAGCAGGAUAUACCUAAGACAACUUUUACCACAAGGUACAGGCUAUAUGAGUAUACCGUUAUGUCAUUUGGUCUGACUAACGCACCUGCCUAUUUCAUGAACAAGGUGUCUAUGGAGUUCCUGGAUAAGUUCGUCGUGGUGUUUAUUGAUGAUAUUCUGGUCUACUCGAAGAAUGAAGAGGAGCAUAAGGAGAAUUUGCAUUUGGUACUUGGAAAGCUCAGAGAACAUCAGUUAUAUGCCAAGUUGAGCAAGUGUGAGUUUUGGUUAAAGGAAGUUGGAUUCCUCAGACAUGUUAUAUCCGAAGAAGGAAUAGUAGUAGACCCCACCAAAGUUGUCAGUGUGACAAAUUGGGAAGCACCCACGUCAGUUGAAGAGAUCCGGAGUUUUCUUGGACUCGCAGGAUACUACUGGAGGUUCAUUGAGGAUUUUCUCAAAGAUUGCAAAACCCAUGACGGAGUUGUUGAAGAAGGACACAAAGUUCAAUUGGACUGAGGAAUGUGAGGCCAGUUUUCAGGAGUUGAAGAAAUGCUUGGUUACAUCACCAGUGUUGAUUCUGCCAGAUCAGCGCAAGGAUUAUGAAGUAUAUUGCAACGCUUCACGUCGAGGACUUGGAGCAGUGCUUAUGCAGGAAGGAAGAGUUGUUUCUUAUGUCUAACGACAGCUUAAACCUCAUGAGUUGAACUAUGCUACACAUGAUUUGGAGUUAGCAGCCGUAGUGCAUGCAUUGAAGACAUGGAGACACUUUCUCAUCGGAAACCAUUGUGAGGUGUACAUGGAUCACAAGAGUUUUAAGUAUAUCUUCACGCAGAAGGAGUUGAAUCUCGGGCAAAGGAGAUGGUUGGAGCUCAUCAAGGAUUAUGAUAUGAGAUUGCACUAUCAUCCUGGAAAGGCUAACGUAGUAGCUGAUGCGUUGAGCCGCAAGAGCCAUGUCAACACACUCAUGACAGCAGAGUUACCCAAGGAGUUAGCAGAGGAUCUUCGCGAGCUAUGUUUGGAGAUAGUUCCUAGAGGCUAUGUAGCAGCAUUGGAGAUUCAGUCUACUUUGUUGGAUAAGAUCAGAGAAGCCCAGAAGACGGACAAGGAGAUUGUCGAGAUAAAGGAAAGGAUGAGCGUAGGAAAAGAUAAGGGAUUUCGUGAGGAUGAGCAUGAUACCUUAUGGUUUGAGGACCGCGUAUAUGUGCCUAAUGAUCCGGAGAUCAAGAAGUUAAUUCUGCAAGAAGCCCAUGAUUCGCUGUAUUCGAUUCACCCAGGAAACACCAAGAUGUAUCUGGAUUUGAAGGACAGUUUCUGGUGGACCAGAAUGAAGAAAGAUAUUGCGGGGUAUGUAGCAGUUUGUGAUGUAUGUCAGAGAGUAAAAGCAAAGCAUCAGAAGCCAGCAGGGUUAUUACGACCAUUCCCGAUACCCGAAUGGAAGUAGGAUAAGCUAGGCAUGGAUUUUAUCACGGGAUUGCCCAGGACUCGUUCGGGCUAUGACUCAAUAUGGGUUGUAGUCGAUCGUUUAACGAAGGUAGCUCAUUUUAUCCCAGUGAAGACCACUUAUACCAGUGCUAAGUUGGCGAAGAUAUACAUGACCAGGAUCGUAUGUCUGCAUGGAGUUCCGAGGACCAUUGUAUCAGAUAGAGGAACCCAGUUUACCUCAAAGUUCUGGAAUCAGCUGCAUGAAAUUUUGCAUACAAGGCUAGAGAUCAGUACAGCCUUUCAUCCACAGACAAAUGGAGAGACCAAGGGAGUCAAUCAGACUCUGGAGAACAUGUUGAGAGCUUGUAAGCUAGAUUAUGGAUCUAGUUGGGAUGACAAUUUUCCUUACACAGAGUUCUCUUACAACAAGAGUUAUCAAUCCAGUUUGAAGAUGUCCCAUUUCUAAGCUUUGUACAUAAGGAGGUGCAGGACACCGUUGUUGUGGGAUGAAGUUGGAGACCGUCAGUUGUUUGGACCAGAUUUGAUCAAAGAGUCUGAAGAGAAGGUUAAGCUGAUUCGUGAUAGACUCAAGGUAGCCCAAUCCAGGCAGAAGAGUUAUGCUGAUUCUAAACACAAGGAGACAGUUUACGAAGUCGGAGACAGAGUUUAUGUUCGAGUGUCCCCACUUCAAGGAGUCAAGCGUUUUGGAGUUAAGGGAAAGUUAGCACCACAUUUUGUGGGACCAUACAAGGUUUUGGAACAUAUGGGAGAAGUUGCCUACACGUUGGAGUUGCCCGAAGGACUGUCAGGAGUACACAAUGUGUUCCACGUUUCCCAGUUGAUGAAGUGCCACGCAAAGAUGGCCGAUAUCCCUCUGAGAGAUACAGUGCCACUGGAAGCGAUUCAGUGGAUAGCGAUUUGACCUACGAGAAGAAACCAGUCAAGAUUCUUGAGUUUGCCAGCCGAGUUACUUGCAACAAAGUUAGCAAGUUCUGCAAGGUUCAGUGGAGCCACCACACCGAAGAUGAAGCCAACUGGGAGCGAGAGGAAGACCUACGGAAGUACCGCCCUCACCUAUUUUCUAGCCAACCCGAAUCUCGAGGGCGAGAUUCAUCUUAAGGGGGGUAGGUUUGUAACAUCCCAAAUUUUCAAUUUGGAAUGUUAUACACUAGAUCAUUAUUGCAAAUCAUAUUUUAUUGCAUUUUGGCGUAAUCCUAGAAAUUCUACGCAACUCAAGAACCUACGGAGAGAGUAGGGCAUUUCGUUAUUUUCAUAUUUGAGUUUUCUCUAAUUUUGAAAAGAGGAUCAAUUGGUUUCUAGUAUAUUUCUUUCCUAAUGUUUCCAAAAUAAAAAUACAUGAGUGAAGAUAAAAUGACUUCUCCAAUAUAACGGAAAUAUUAGAGGAAAAAUAUUAAAAAUAAGUUUGUUAAUUUCUUUGGAUUUUAUUGCAAUUUUAUUCGAAUUAGAAAAAUUGCACGUUUUCAAAAUUGCAUUUUUAGGCCAAGGAAAUGUUCAUCUUGUUCUAAAUAUUCUAUUUAGAUGGUGAAUUUUUUUUGGCAUUUUUAGAUUUUUAUUUAUUUUUCUAGGAUUUAUUUUCGGCGGAACCUUAUUAAAAAAACAUUUUACGCUCGCCCGACUUGGCCAACUUCCCGGUCGAGCCGGGCCGGCCUCGCCCCGCCUCUGCCCGACCGGCUCCGACCAGAGUCCGGCCAAAGCACGCCGCCGCCACCGAGUCCGGGGAGGACUCCUUCUCCUUGCCCCCUUCCCCAAGCCGCCCCCUUCCUUAUAUACCCCGCCCCUCCACCACCACCACCCGCCACCACAGCCUCCCCCUCAGAUCCGCGCCGCCACCCGAGAGCCGCCGUCGCACGGAGCCCCAUCGUCGUCGCCUCACCGCCCCCCCACCACCGCCGCCGGAGACCCCGUCACGGCCGGAGCCCGCCGCCCCGCUCACAGGACCACCGCCGGAGGUAGCCUCCGCCGCCGUCUCGCCGUUCGACGGUUUUCUUAGAAAAACCGUUCGGUUUUUUCGAAACCCUAUAUCUUUUUUCAGAUCUGAUUCGGUUUUUUCGGUUUAAUUAUUUAGCGAGCGUCCGCUCGUUCGUUCGUUUUAACAAACGUUGUUCACCGUUUUGCCGCAGACAACGAACGUUUGUUCGUUAGCCUGUUCGUCAGUUUUUCCUUUUUCCAGGGUUUUUCCGCGAUUAUUUUUUAUCGCGAUUUCUGCCCUGAUUUUCGUUUUAGUUUAUCUUUUCGCUCGUUUAUCGAUAUCAGGCGAUUCAAGCGCCUUGAGUUUCGUCUCGAAACCCUCUUUCUGUUUAACCAACUUAAACAAGUUUUUGCUACUAUAAAAUUUGACUUAAUUCCAGAUUAGUAAACAAAGCUUGUGUCUUUCGCAGUUUGAGUUUCGUUGGUUCGUUUGACCUGAUUCUUUUUGCAAACUGGAGUUCUUAAGUUGAACUUUCUGGUUAGAUCUCUUAUUUGAGUUUUACCCGUGUGUCUAUUUUAGUGCUUAUUGUAUGCUUGUUUGUUUGUGAUAGAGUACCCGGAGUACGAAGCGUGCUACUACGAGUCUCUAGGUUUCACGGAUCAUCGGCAAGGUAAGUAACACUUUGAUCAUACCUCUUUACUACCCAGUUUUAUUGCAUUAGAUCAAACCUCAAACAAUUGAAUGAUUAGGAUAUGUUUAAUAUGAGGGUUAUGGGAAGUAGAUGAGGUAGUACCUAUUGUCCUGUUUGUUAUCAAACCUUUGGGAGUUACUUCUAUGUUGCUUAUAUUGUUAUGCUAUGCUUGUAGACAUGGUUUGGGUGAGUGUAUCCAUGACAGAUGUGAGUAUUGUUAUUUAAUGGUUAACUUAAGGUGGCUGCUUUGAUACACAUCUGGGUGGAUUGAGGCACCUAGGGAAUCCAGUGUUACCUAUAUUUUUUCAAUCCCGGGGUACCGUGUGAUUCUCCUAUGGACCACCAGCCAGGCUCAAAGGGAUCUUAAGAUUAUUCAUGCUAGAAACUUCCGUGUGCAGCCACAGGCUAUAAGUUCUUUUUUGAGACAUUCGAUGUAAUAAUUGUGUGAUUGCUACUCUGUUAUAAAUCGUUCAAGGACUAUGCGUGUCAGCAUUACCGAUCCAGGGAUGACACUGAUGCACAGAUAUCAGACUGUUUGAGGUCUAGUCGCUACAGCGGCUCCACCACUUCAAUGGCUGACGCGCGCCGAGCUUGUGCUAAGCGCCGGGCCGCCCUUGUUGCAUGCGUUGCUCAGACAGCGCCGGCGGGCGACGGCUGCCCUCGCCGACCUCCGUCACCGGUGGCGAACGCCGCCAUGGGGGUCGGCGAGGGCCAUGAGAACCAAGCCUAUUCACUGCAUUCGUCUGUGCUCUACGACGGGUGCACUGCCACUCCGUGGCUAACUCCAGCCGCUUCAUCCUCUCAUGCUCGUCGUGGUCCGGCGAACGUGUAGGCCGCUCUGCUCAUGGCGUGUGAGCUCCUGCGCUACCGCCCGGUAGACGACGUCUACAAGGACUGGCUCGACCGCGUCGCCCAGCUCGUCAGCGUCGCUGCGGAUUCUGCUGCACCAGCUAGCUCGCUGCCUCAACCGCCCCCUGCUGCGGGAGAUGUAGCACACAGGGCUCCUCCUCCGCCUCCAAGGCAAGAAGCAAUCGUUGAGCCAAGGCGGGUGGCUCCUCGGUGUGAUCCGCAGCAUCAGGCGCCCGCACGUGAUGAAGUAAGCUGCCAGGUAGUCCAGCCGCCACAAGAAAAUGCGCGCGCGCUCCAGAUGUCACGUCAAGAACGCGCGCCGCCUGUGGUGGCGGUCCACGAAUGCCAAUACCAGGUUCCACCUCCACGGCGAGCUGUCGUGACCACAACAGGGUGUCGCACAUUCACUCCAGAGCUACGUAGUGUCGUCUAGCCAGGGAAGUUCAAGCCCAACCUGCAUCCACGCUACAAUGGCACCACCAACCCCGCCGAGUUCCUGCAGCUCUACGAGCUGAGCAUCGAGGCAGACAGCGGUGAUGAGAAGGUCGUGGCGAACUGGUUCCCCAUGGCGCUCAAGGACGGCGCGCUCUCCUAGCUCCCGAACCUGCCCGUGGGAUCGAUCUCCUCCUGGGAUGAGAAGAGGGAAUGUUUCAUUGCCAAUUUCUAGAGCACUCGCGACUGCCCGCCAGCUGCGGGUGACCUGCGACGCGUCAAGCAGCAACCAAGAGAGUCCCUGCAAAAGUACAUCCAGCGCUUAUAUAGAGUUCGCCGCAACAUUCCCAAGGUGUCGGACGAAGCCAUCAUCUUGGCGUUCACCGACGGAGUCCGCGAUGUAAAGAUGAAGGAGGAGCUCGCCAUACACGAAGACCUAUGCACGACCUUGGAUAUGUUCAACAUGGCAACCAAGUGCGUGAGAGCUGAAGAGGGACGCCACUACCUCCUCGAGCUCCCCGACGCAAACCCAGAAGUCAAGAAUGCCAAGGCCAAGGACGUGAAGCAUAAGGGACCAACCGUGCUCACUUCUAAGCCAGAGAUGAAGCGCGGCUGCGAUCACCCAGAAUCAUCCAAGGGCAGCCGCCCAUUUUGCGACUUCCAUAAUGUGCACAACCACAACAACAACGACUACGAGGAGCUCAGGGCCAUCCACGAUGGGCGCCUCGGUCUUUGCCCCAAGCGCAAUGAUCGAGGCUAGGCUCGCGGAGGAGGUCGAGGUGGAGGACGCUAGGACGACCUCAACCAUCGUUAGGAGUGGCGCCACAAGCCUCGGUAGGACCACUGGCAGGGCUAGCCUCGCGAGGGCACCUGGAGGGAUCUGCCUCGCGAGGAUUAGCCUUACGGAAACGCUGGUCUCCCUCUGCUGCCGCUGCCGACAAAAAGGAAAGAAGACCACCACCAGGAUGAGGGGGCUGGGGGCUUCCAAGAGCCUCGCGCCAUUGCCUGCAUCCUAGGCGGCUCCCAAGCUCCAGCCUCUCAUCGCAUCUUCAAGCAGUUCACGCAUGAGGUGAACGCAGCCCUACGGAAGCUCGAGGCAAUGCGCCCGCUCUGGUGGUCCAAGUAUGCCAUCACCUUCGACUCCUCCAACCAACUCAAGUGCGCGGCCACAGCCGGCGCGCUCCCAAUGCUCUGCUCGCCCAUCAUCAGCAAUGUGCUCGUCACCAAGACGCUCAUCGAUGGAGAUGCAGGGCUCAAUGUCCUCUCCGUCCAGACAUUCAACAGGCUCCAAGUGUCGUAUCAGCAACUUUAGCCUACCAAGCCCUUCUCAGGAGUGAUCGGCGGCUCCACGCACCCGAUCGGGCAGGUUCGCCUCCCCAUCACCUUCGACAAACACGACAACUACCGCACCGAGCUCAUCGACUUCGACAUCGCCAACAUUCGCCUACCAUACAAUGCCAUCCUUGGGCACCCAGCUCUCGCCAAGUUCAUGGCAGCAAUGCACCACAGCUACAAUGUCCUCAAGAUGCUAGGGAACUACGACAUCAUCAUGAUCGAUUGCGAAGAAAAGGACGCAGUGUGAUUUCUCGAGUGCGCUUACCAAGCUACAGUAGUUGAGAACCCUGAUGACGAGGGUGCCGUCCACCCUCCUGAGGUCGUUCCCAAGCAGAAGAAGAAGAAGAAGUGGCUCCACUGGGGAUCUCAGGAGCAUGGGGCGUCCGGCGGCGCCGGUUCAAGCCUGGCGUCUGUGGACGAGGCGCCUUCCCCUCUCGCAUAGCAAGGCGCGCCUGGUGCCCCUCUCAGGCUGGGCUCGGGGGCUAUCCUCUGGAGGGCUUCUAACAUGGCCAACGUCACGAGGGAGGUGCUCAGGAACCAUGUGGAGGCAUGCUUCAGGCCAUGCUUCCAUGGAGAGAGUGCUGGGCAUAAGGCUCCUUGCGCUCAGGAGUUCAUCAACAAGGCAGUCAAGGAGAUUCAGGAGGCAACGAUCAUACAGGGAGAUCGCCGCCCACUGCCAGGCGCGGCUCCUCGCCCAGGUGAGGACGAGGAGCUGCGCAUCUGUGUCGACAUCCCAGGGCUCAACAGGGUCGCAUCCCAGGAGCACUUCUGGCCAUCCCGUGUUGGCCGAGUCGAGGGCCCCCCUCACAGCUACGUCCGCAAGCAUUUGGCUUGCUGAACGCAGCUGCUGUAUUCCAGUGCCACAUGCGGGGCGUCCUGGUGGCUGAGGAGGAUCGGCGCCAGGAGAUCCAGGAGGAGAUGGUGAUGGAUCCUCAUGAGCCUCCUGGACCUCCAAAGCCGCCCGAGGUUCAGGGCCAGGGCGGCGCAUGAGGAGCGACUUCUACAGAGUGCGUCUUCCACUACUCCAACACCUCUUUAGCAAUGGUGCCUGGUGACAUCUUUUAGUUUGUUCAGUUGGGUGAGCCCUUCGGGCUGCACUAUCCCCAAGCCGUGUGGAUCUGUCCCUGCGGCAUGUAUCCUUCUUGCAUUUAUCAGAGCUGCCUAAAAGUCUUCCAUGAGUUGCUUUAUGAUCAUUGCCUGCUUGCUUCAAGUCCUAUAUGCUUCGCGAUCUCUUUGCGUUUUUGACUCGUCCUUUGCUCGUCCUGCAACUGGGGCUAUACAUGCUGGCAUGGCGCUUGUGCUCGGGUCCGUCCCAGCAACGCUGACUAAGCCGAAGGAUCGAGCUCUGGCUCGCGACCCGCUUCGCAUGCGCCACCUCACAAAGCCCUCGGUGCCUUCAUCUUCUCACGGGAAGAUCAAGGGUAGGCAGCAAGCACUGCUAGGGGUCAUAUUCUUCCCUGCAGGCUAACACGUAGGUACACCUGAAGCCUAGCUAUGGGUGGGCCCGGCGGCCACCACCUUCUCACGCGAGUCCCUUGCACGUUAAAGGGGGGGCUCCUGAGCAUCGUGUCUCAAAAGAUCCUACUGGAUCUCCAUCCCUCACCCCCUGGCCUUGACCACGGCAUCGCGACCUAGUAUACUAGCGGCUGCUGAGUCUUGCUCGAGGGCCGGGACCUAAGGAUAUAGAGCACCUAGACAAGCGAGAGAGGGGAUGGCCGUCAUGGUCCCUACCUAGAGGCGCGACCACUAAGGCACAAAUAGGCACCACGCAAGGGAAUCCUUACAAGUUCACUAAAAGAUAAGUCGCUCGCCUGUUAGCAUGAAUCUCAUGACCCAAUCUCACAACCUUCAUAGUCUCGCUCGGGCAAUGUCUCUUCCCUUUACGCUUCUUGGGUAGCUUCUUGCAUACAAAGGGGGACCUCAUGAGCAUCGCGCCUCAGGAGCUCUCACUGGACCUCGGGCCGCUCACCUCCUGGCCUUGACCACAGCAUCACGGCCUCGCAUAUCAGCGAUGGCUGAAGCCUGCCUGGGGACUGGGUCUCAUCAGCAUAGAGCGCUAUGCUACCUAGGGGACGGAAAGGGGGGCCGUGCCAGAGUGGGAUACGCGAUUUCAAACACAUUGUUAGGAAGGAUAACAUUGGAAUGAACAUCAUGGUUUAUACAUACCCCCACGGGGCUUGUCAUAAUUCUACACAGGGAAGCAAGAGAAGGAACUACGGAGGACCGGGCCAAAGGCCAUCACCGGCAACACCGGGCAGAUGGUGCUGCUGCACUCCGAGCGCGGCGGGAUCUUGGCGGAACGUAGGUGUCGUCACUGGAAUCUAGAGAAUCGCUAGGCUUGGGAGAGUCGCUGGAUUCCCAGGAAUAGUCGCUACUACUGGAGGAGAUGCCAGUGGGGUCGGAGGCGGGCCCAACGCUUACGACCGUGCCCCGCGGGCUACUUCCUCCUGGGCAGCACUCCAGUCGCCGGCCCUCCUUGUUGAAGACCUUGAAGAAAAGUGUAGAGGCGCCGUCGUACUCGAAGUGGAUCACGAGGGCCUCCUUUGCGUGGUAGGCAUGGCUGACCUCGCCCCAUCCGCGGGUCAUGAAGACAUCACCGGGAGUUAGUACCUUGACCUCAGCUUUGGUGGCCAGGCUGUAGCACCCGGCGUGUUGCAGCCACAGCUCAAGCAACCCCCUCGGUAGAAUCUCAUCGAUGAAGAAACUCGGGAACUGGAUCCACGAGCCUGGCCGCAUCGCUACCGACACCACGAGCUCGCGCGAGCUACCCUAGGCAUGGGUUCACGGCCCUGCUAGCUGCUCAACUUUGGCUCACCCGCUACUGCCUGAGAUCGCUCGGCGGUGGACAUUGCCGUCCUGCGCGUGGGCGUACAAGGGAAGCUGGGCAGAGGCCGUACGUGCCAAGGCCGGGUCACCUCCUGCCUCACGCCAGCAUCGCAGGGACGGCGAAACCUUUUCUUUGGCAGAAGUGGCUCUGGCUCCUCCCGAGGGGCUUUCCCCUUCUUCGCCACAAAGAAUCUCCUGAUCGGUGCAAUGGAUGCUAUGGCAAGGUGGAGAAGAAGAAGGAACGAGCAGUGAGAGGAUGAAGAUAGAGAUGAGCGAGGGGGCUCUUGGUCGUCCCUCAUUUAUAGCCGGAGGAGGCCAACUGCCGAACUGCCCGAUCUUGUGCAAUGAUGUCUUCUCUGCAUGCAUCAUCGACUCGUCAAGCCACGACAGUUGCCGAGGCCGCAUGGGAAGUGUAUACGCACACAUCCCAUCAAUCGUCAUGCGUCAACCAAGGCCGCAGGCGGUUAGGGCCCACGGUGCUCCGCACUUGCCGUUUGGCUUCGCCUAGAAGCCAAGUCAUAGCGUGCCUUGGGCCCGGGGACUACUGUCGGUGUUCUGGUAUGGGGGUACCUGGACAUGCCUGCCUGCGGCCCAUGGCGUGGCUCCACCAGCAGCAUGGUACGACCCAGUUUCGACAUCGUCAACUCAAGACCCUCGCUUUGGGCCAAGCCUCACGAGGCAGACGACAUAAAGUCCUCCAAAGGGAUCGGCCUCCUCAGGAUGGCUCCUGAGGAGUGGAGAUUUCUAUGCAAGGCUCACCUCGCGAGGUUCGGAUCACGUGAGCCAUGAUGACCAAGGCCAGGCAGGCGCCAGCGGGCGUAGAGUACUAGUUUCCUCUUUGGUGCAAAGGAAGCAAGUAGCACGCGCGGAGUCCUGAGGAAACAGCCAAAGGUUUCCAUUCCCGUGCAACAAGACCAAGACCGCCAGGACGGCAGGAUGGAGGUCAUCGCCGAGCACACCACAGCGUCACGACUAGAGGCUUUUGCAGGCGAAGACCACUUUAGUUAGGAUAGGAUGUACUUGUUGUCUCGCUUCAAAUUUGGUUGUUGUGGGAUCCCUUCCAGCCUCCAUUCGGGAAGAGGACCAAGGCCACUAUAAAUAGGACCUAGCCACCACCGAGGAGGGGGAUCGGGUCCAAUCCACCCUCACCAGCUCACCAGCUCACUUGAUCCCGAGAACACGCCUCCUGAGGUUGUUCCCAAUUGUACUAGUUCUUCCUUAGCCCCUCAAGGCAAAUCCACCACAAAUCAGGAGUAGGGUUUUACACCGGAAGGUGGUCCAAACCUAGGUAAACUAAUGUGUCCCGUUUCCUUUGAGCUCGACACAUUAGGCUAUGAGAUUAGCGAGUCAGCAGACUGGGGAGAGUGAGAUCUUCACACGCACCCCAGAGUUCGAACCUCUCAAGGGUUUGCAGAACCCAUAAUCUGACACAUAUAAUGGCAAGAAGAUGUAUAAAACAAAUGACGUAGACAAUGUAAGCUAUAAGCUUUUAAUAAUAAGCUUCAUUAAAGAAGCCCCCAGUUAUAGUGGAGUGUAUACAUUUAAACAUGUGCACCCCUAACAAUUCGGUGAAUUCAAACAUACCCUGGGAAAAAAGGAAAAAAGAAGGAGAGGAGAAGGAGAAACCUAGUCAAAGUAAAAAAUAAAGAGAACAAACUAUGCAUAAAAUCUUCGGAGCCGAGCGGCGUUCCAUGGGUUCGGCUCAAGGCGAUUAUUCAGUGCAUUACGAAGGCCAUAGGAUCCUCUUGUAAGGAGUUCAUCUAUGAUGAAGGGCCCCUCUCAUUUUGGUUGGAGCUUAUCCUUUUUCUUCACAGGGAGGCGCAAAACAGGGUCGUCGACAUUAUAUGUCUUAGCCCGCACUUCUCUGCUUUGGUAUCGCCUGGCCUAUUAAUGAUAGAAUGCGGAACGGGACUUUGCAACAUCGCGCUCCUCUUUGAGUCCGUCUAGGUCAUCCUGCCGAUCAAGCUCGGCUUCUCACUCUUUUUACAUGCACAUUUGAGGUGGGUCAUGACUAAUGUCACAGGGCAGUACAGCUUCUGCGCCGUACACCAUAAAGAAAGGUGUGUAUCUGGUCGUUCGUUUGGGCAUGGUCUGCAGCCCCCAGAGUACGGAGUUGAGUUCCUCAACCCAAUGCUUAUCUGAUUCUCGUAAGAAGCGCACAAGUCUAGGCUUAAUGCCACUCAUUAUCAGGCCGUUGGCCCGUUCAACUUGACUGUGUGUUUGAGAGUGGUAUACAGAUGCAUAGUCAAGUUUAAUGCUGUGAAAUUGGAGCCAAUAUCCUUGAUGAUACUAUGCGGGACACCAUAGCGGUAUAGCACACCAGAUAUAAAGUCAAUCACUGGCCCUGCUUCAGCUAUUUUUACUAGUUUGGCCUCUAUCCAUUUAGUGAACUUAUCUACCAUUACUAGCAAAUAUUUCUUUUUGUGGCUUCCCCCUUUAAGGGGUCCGACCAUGUCAAGCCCCAAGACCGCGAAGGUCCAGGUGAUGGGGAUUGUUCAUAAGGCGGUGGGAGGCAUAUGACUUUUGUUGGCAAAAAGCUGACAACCCACACAACACUGGACAAGGGCUUGAGCGUCUGCUCGGGCCGUUGGCCAUAAGAAUCCUGCACUGAAAGCUUUGCUUACAAGGGCCCAAGCUGUGGCAUGAUGACCUCCCAGACCAGCAUGUAUUUCCCUCAGGAGCUGUUGUCCCUCUUCUUUGGAGAUGCACCUUUGGAGGACUCCGGUCGUGCUCAUCUUGUAUAGUUCACCCUCAUGCACUUUGGAGACUUCAGAGCGCCAAAGCCUACGACGAGCUUCAUUUUGAUCAUUGGGAAGAUCCUGCCUGUUAAGGUAGGCUAGGAAGGGUUCGGUCCAUGGAGCAAUAACAACCAUGAUCUCACGAGCAGAGGGUGUUAUUUCGGCAUCUAAACCCCCGAUGGUAUCUACACUGUGUUCUACUGCUGGGGGUGUGACUAGGUCCGUACUAGCUUCUCUGCUCUCACCCUGCCACACUACGGAUGGCUUAAAGAGCCUUUCCACAAAGGCGUUAGGCUGGACGGGGUCGCACUUGGCGCCCAUGCAAGUGAGGAUGUCGGCUGCCUAGUUACUGUCACGAGAGACAUGAUGGAAUUCCAGUCCCUCGAACUAAGCUGAUAUUUUUGAUACGGUGUUUCCAUAUGCCGCCAUUUUGGAUCUUUUGCAUCGAACUCUCUAUUGACCUGGGAUAUUGCGAGGUUAGAAUCUCCGCGCACCUCGAGGCGUUGUACACCCAUGGAGGCAGCUGAUACGUCUCCAACGUAUCUACAAUUUUUGAUUGUUCCAUGCUAUUAUAUUACCCCUUUUGGAUGUUCAUGGGCUUUAUUUUACAUAUUUAUAUCAUUUUUGGGACUAACCUACUAACCGGAGGCCCAGCCCGUAUUGCAGUUUUUUUGCCUAUUUCAGUAUUUCGAAGAAAAGAAAUAUCAAACGGAGUCCAAACGGAAUGAAACCUUCGGGAGCGUGAUUUUUGGAACGAACGUGAUCCGGAGAACUUGUAGUGCAAGUCAAGAAGCUUGCGAGGUGGCCAGGAGAUAGGAGGGCGCGCCCCUAUCUCUUGGGCCCCAUAGGCGGCCACCGACGCACUUCUUCCUCCUAUAUAUACCUACGUACCCCGAAAACAUCCAGGGAGCCAACGAAACACAAUUUCCACCACCGUAAACUUGGAGCCUUCGCCGGCACUCUGCCGGAGGGGGAAUCGACCAUGGAGGGCUUCUACAUCAACACCAUUGCCCCUCUGAUGAGUUGUGAGUAGUUUACCAUAGACCUUCGAGUCCAUAGUUAUUAGCUAGAUGGCUUCUUCUCUCUUUUUGGAUCUCAAUACAAUGUUCUCCCCCUCUCUUGCGGAGAUCUAUUCGAUGUAAACUCUUUUUGCGGUGUGUUUGUCGAGAUCCGAUGAAUUGUGGGUUUAUGAUCAAGUUUAUCUAUGAGAAAUAUUUGAAUCUCCUCUAAAUUCUUUUAUGUAUAAUUGAGUUAUCUUUGCAAGUCUCUUCAAAUUAUCAGUUUGGUUUGGCCUACUAGAUUGACCUUACUUGCCAUGGGAGAAGUGCUUAGCUUUGGGUUCAAUCUUGCGGUAUCCUUUCCCAGUGACAGCAGGGGCAGCAAGGCACAUAUUGUACUGUUGCCAUUGAGGAUAAAAAGAUGGGGUUUUUAUCAUAUUGUUUGAGUUUAUCCCUCUACAUCAUGUCAUCUUUCUUAAUGUGUUACUCUAUUCUUUAUGAACUUAAUACUCUAGAUGCAGGCAGGAGUCGGUCGAUGUGUGGAGUAAUAGUAGUAGAUGUAGGCAGGAGUCGGUCUACUUGUCACGGACGUGAUGCCUAUAUACAUGAUCAUGCCUAGAUAAUCUCAUAAUUAUUCGCUUUUCUAUUAAUUGCUCAACAGUAAUUUGUUCACCCACCGUAAUACUUAUGCUAUCUUGAGAGAAUCCUCUAUGGCCCCCGGGUCUAUCUUUUAUCAUAUAAGCUUUCAAUCUACUUUUAUUUGCAUCUUUACUUUUUGCAUCUAUAUUAUAAAAUACCAAAAAUAUAUUUAUCUUAUCAUACUAUCUCUAUCAGAACUCACUUUCGCAAGUGGCCGUGAAGGGAUUGACAACCCUUUAUUGUGUUGGUUGUGAGUUCUUUGUUUGUUUGUGUAGGUGUGUGGGACUUUUGAGGAGCCUCCUACUGGAUUGAUACCUUGGUUCUCAAAAACUGAGGGAAAUACUUACGCUACUAUUGCUGCAUCACCCUUUCCUCUUCAAGGAAAACCAACGCAAGCUCAAGACAUAGCAAAAAGGAUUUCUGGCGCCGUUGCCGGGGAGGUCUUCACUCAAGUCAAUACAUACCAAGUACCCAUCACAAACUCAUCUCCCUCGCAUUUACAUUAUUUUCCAUUGGCCUCUCGUUUUCCUCUCCCCCACUUCACCAUUGCUAUUUUAUUUGCCCUCUCUUUCCCAAUCUCCUCCUAUAUUUUCGCUUGCCUUUUUCUGUUUGCUUGUGUGCUUGUUUGUCCUUAUGGCUUUGCCUAAGAGUAUUGACCACCUUCUUAGAAGGUUGGGAGAGAUCAAUUGAAAUAUUAGAAGCUUUAUGAAUUUGCAAUUUGAGCAUAAUAAUUUCUUAAAAAAAGAUCUUAAGGAACAAAAAGGUUUUUUGGGGUUUAUGAACAAAGAGCUUGAUGAUAUGUCUAAGGGAGUUUUUGGUGUGAACUCUCAAAUUACCCAGCUUGAAAAUGCUAUAGCCAAAAUUUCUGAUAAGCAAGCUACCGUAGUCAAUAAGAUGGCUGCCAAACCAGAAAAGUUAAAUAAAAAUAAUGAUGAAGAUCUUAAAGUUAUUGAUGUGUCUCCUAUUAGAUCUUUGUUUUGCAAUAUGAAUCAUGAUAAUUAUGGGACUGGAGAUGAGUCAACUUUAGUUAGAAGGCGUCCCAAGAAUUCGGAGUUUUUAUAUCUUGAUGCUAAAUUUGGUAAAAGUGGGAUUGGAGAGGUCAUGACUUUAAAUAGUAUUGAACCCACUAUCUCGGAUUUUCAGGAAUUUGAUUAUGAUAAUUGUUCUUUAGAAGGUUGUAUUUCCUUGUUGCAAUCCGUUGUUAAUUCUCCUCAUGCUUACAGUCAAAAUAAAGCUUUUACCAAACAUAUCGUUGAUGCCUUGAUGCAAUCUUAUGAUGAAAACCUUAAUUUGGAAGUUUCUAUACCUAGAAAACUUAAUGAUGAGUGGGAACCUACUAUAAAGAUUAGAAUUAAAGAUCAUGAGUGUUUUGCUUUGUGUGAUUUGGGUGCUAGUGUUUCCAUGAUUCCGAAAACUUUAUGUGAUAUUCUAGGUUUCCAUGAUCUUGAUGAUUUCUCUUUAAAUUUGCACCUUGCGGAUUCCACCAUUAAAAAGCCAAUGGGAAGGAUCAAUGAUGUUCUCAUUGUUGCAAAUAGAAAUUUGGUGCCCGUAGAUUUUAUCGUUCUUGAUAUAGAUUGCAAUCUUUCUUGCCCUAUUAUUCUUGGUAGACCUUUCCUUAGAACGAUUGGCGCGAUUAUUGAUAUGAAGGAAGGGAAUAUUAGAUUCCAAUUUCCAUUAAAGAAAGGCAUGGAGCACUUUCCAAGAAAGAAAGUCAAAUUACCUUAUGAAUCUAUCAUGCGAGCUACUUAUGAAUUGAGUGCCAAAGAUGGCACUACUUAGAUCUAUCUUCGCUUUUAUGCCUAGCUAGGGGCGUUAAACGGUAGCGCUAGUUGGGAGGCAACCCAAUUUUAUUUGUGUUUUUUGUUUUUGUUCUUGUUUAGUAAUAUAUUUUGUAUAUACCUUCUCUUUAGAUGUGUUUUUAUCUUUUAAUUAGUGUUUGUGCCAAGUAGGACCUAUAGGAUAACCUGAUGAUAGUUGAUUUGAUUCUGCUGAAAACGAGAAACUUUGCGCGCACGAAAUUAGUUUCGUUAAAUCACAGAAACGAGAUUUUGCGUUGAUUCUUUUUGCUUCUGAUCAAUAGACAAAUUGUAUCGGACUUCCUGUUUUCGUAGGAUUCAUAGAGUUCCAGAAGUUUGCGUUAGUUACAGAUUGCUACAGACUGUGUUUUUUUUACAGAUUCUGUUUUUCGUGUGUUGUUUGCUUAUUUUGAUGCAUCUAUGGCUAGUAAAAUAGAUUAUAAACCAUAGAUAAGUUGGAAUACAUUAGGUUUAACACCAAAAUAAAUAAAGAAUGAGUUCAUUAUAGUACCUUAUGUGGUGGUUUGUUUUCUUUCACUAACGGAGCUUAUAGGAUUUCUUGUUGAGCUUUGUGUUGUGAAGUUUUCAAGUUUUGGGUAAAGCUUUGAUGGACUAUGGAAUAAGGAGUGGCAAGAGCCUAAUCUUGGGGAUGCCCAUGGCACCCCAAGAUAUUCAAGGAUAGCCAAAAGCCUAAGUUUGGGGAUGCCCCUAGAAGGCAUCCCCUCUUUCGUCUUCGUUCAUUUGUAACUUUACUUGGAGCUAUAUUUUUAUUUGCCACAUGAUAUGUGUUUUGCUUGGAGCAUCGUAUAUUAUAUUAGUCUUUGCUUUUUAGUUUACCACAAUCAUCCUUGCUGUACACACCUUUUGGGAGAAGCCCACUUGAUUAGAAUUUGCUAGAAUACUCUAUGUGCUUCACUUAUAUCUUUUGAGCUUGAUAGUUUUUGCUCUACUGCUUCACUUAUAUCUUUUAGAGAACGGCGGUGACUUAAUUUUGAAGAAAUUGCUAGUCUCUCGUGCUUCACUUAUAUUAUUUUGAGAGUCUUUUAGAACAGCAUGGUAUUUUCUUUGGUUAUAAAUUUGGUCCUAGAAUGAUGGGCAUCCAAGUUGGGUAUAAUAAAAACUAUCAUAGGAAGUGAAUUAGAUGCUAUGAUCAAUUUGUUACUUGAUAAUUGUUUUGAGAUAUAAAGGUAGUAAUGUUAGAGUCAUGCUAGUGGGUAAUUAUGAAAUUGAGAAAUACUUGUGUUGAAGUUAGCAAGUCCCGUAGCAUGCACAUAUGGUAAAAGUUGUGUGAAAAGUUUGUUGCAUGAGGUGCUCUUUUGAUUCUCUUCCUUAUGAGUGGAGGUCGGGAUCGAGCAAUGGUUAACUCCUACCAACCCUUCCCCUAGGAGCAUGCAUAGUAGUACUUUCCUUCGAGGGAAAGUAGACUUUUGCAAUAAGUAUAUGAGUUGUUUAUGACUAAUGUGAGUCCAUGUAUAUACGCACACCUAUCCUCCCACUUUGCUAGCCUCUAUUAUACCGCGCAACUUUCACCGGUAUCAUGCACCCAUUAUUUACCUUCCUCAAAACAGCCACCAUACCUAACUAUUAUGGCAUUUCCAUAGUCAUUCCGAGAUAUAUUGCCAUGCAACUUUUCCACCGUUACGUUUAUUAUGACACGUUCCAUCAUUGUCAUAUUGUUGUUGGCAUGAUCAUGUAGUUGACAUCGUAUUUGUGGCAAGGCCACCUCCAUAAUUUUCAUACAUGUCGCUCUUGAUUCAUUGCAUAUCCCGGUACACCGCCGGAGGCAUUCAUAUAGAGUCAUAUCUUGUUCGAGCUUUGAGUUGUAAUUCUUGAGUUGUAAAUCAAUAAAAGUGUGAUGAUCUUCAUUAUUAGAGCAUUGUCUCGGUGAGGAAAGGAUGAUGAAGACUAUGAUUCCCCCACAAGUCGGGAUGAGACUUUGGACUUUAGAAAAAAAGAGAAAGGCCAAAAAAAAGAAAGGCCAAAGAAAAAAAAGAAAGAAA
rnacentral:lncRNA from 1 species